rnacentral:lncRNA from 1 species
UUUUUUUUUGGUUCGCCGGGAUGCCCUUUUUUGCCUAGACUCUUUUAUUCUUUUUGUCCAGCGGGUCAAUUUACGCGAAGUAUUUUUUGACUACAUCUGAGUUAACAGGGGAUGGAAAAUCUUCACCAUCCAUAGUUGUAAGCAUCAAGGCUCCACCGGAGUAAGACCCUUCUUCACAACAUAUGGACCUUCAUAAUUAGGAGUCCACUUGCCCCUGUUAUUUGACCGGAGGAAGGAUCCUCUUCAAAACUAGAUCACCAGUUUGAUAGCUCCGAGGACGCACUUUCUGGUCAAAGGAUCUCUUUCCUUCUCUGAUACAACUGCCCAUGGCACACAGCUGCUAGCGUCUCUCUUCAAUAAGGCUCAACUCAUUAAACCUUGUUCGAAUCCACUCGCUUCGUCCACUUGACAUCCAACAAAACUCUUAGAGAAGGGAUCUCCACUUCAACAGGUAGGACUGCUUCCAUACCAUACACAAGGGAGUAUGGGGUUGCCCCGGUCGACGUACGUACUGAGGUACGGUACCCAUGCAAAGCGAAAGCGAGCAUCUCAUGCCAAUCCUUGUACGUCACGAACCAUCUUCUGCACAAUCUUCUUGAUAUUCUUGUUUGCCGCCUCUACAACACCAUUCAUCUUUGGUCUGUAAGGCGCAGACUUGUGAUGUUCAAUCUUGAAAUCUUUACAAAGCUCUUUCAUCAUCUUGUUAUUGAGAUUCGAACCAUUAUCAGUAAUGAUUCUCUCAGGAACCCCAUAACGACAGAUGAUUUCCUUCUUAAUGAACCGGGAAACCACUUGUUUGGUAACAUUGGCAUAGGAAGCUGCUUCCACCCACUUGGUGAAGUAGUCAAUCGCAACCAAGAUGAAACGAUGUCCAUUCGAAGCAGUAGGCUCAAUCUUCCCAAUCAUGUCAAUGCCCCACAUGGCAAACGGCCAAGGCGAGUUCAUGACAUUCAGAGGGCUUGGUGGUACAUGCACCUUAUCAGCAUAAAUCUGACACUUAUGGCAUUUCCGAGCGUACUUGAAACAAUCGGAUUCCAUAGUCAUCCAAUAAUAACCGGCUCUCAACAAUUUCUUCGACAUUGCAUGACCACCAGCAUGGGUACCAAAUGAACCCUCAUGCACUUAUUGCAUCAACAUGUCUGCUUCGUGUCUAUCCACGCAUCUGAGCAGAACCAUGUCAAAGUUUCUCUUAUAUAGCACAUCAUCCUGAUUCAAAUAAAAGCUUCCAGCUAGCCUUCUCAGGGUUUUCUUGUCAUUCCUCGACGCACCUUCAGGAUACUCCUGGCCCUUGAGGAAGUUCUUGAUAUCAUAGUACCACGGCUUAUCAUCAACAACAGACUCGCCUGCAAACACAUACGCAGGCCUCUCGAGUUGAUUCACCGCAACAUGUGGCACAUGAUUCCACCAAUGAACUUUUAUCAUGGAUGAUAAAGUAGCCAAGGCAUCAGCCAUCUGAUUCUCAUCCCGGGGGACAUGAUACAACUUCACCUUCUUGAAGAACGUCAGUAUUCUUUUGGUGUAAUCUCUGUAAGUGUAGCACCUCAAAUUUGUACCUCCUUUUUUGUACAUUCAUUUUCAUUUUAGGUCAUAACAUUAACAUUGGCCACUGCAUAGCAUUGCAUUGUCCAUUUGCCCAAGUGCAAGUCAUUAGGUCAAGACUGGUCAGGAGAUCCAGUCAAGCAAGCAAGCAGGUGGAAAUCCUAUUGAAGUAAAGCCCUAGGGUUGGUUCAACAAGUUCAUAUGAUUCAAGGAUCAUUUUGAAGUGGUUUGGCCAAGGAUUGGAUGUUCAGAAGUCAUCAGUCAUUGCACAAUGCAUCUGAAACCCUAGAAAGUCAACUGUGGUCAAAUGUGCAUAAAAUCAUGGAUUUGAAGGUGGGAGAUGGUUUGAUAGGCUUCAUUCAUGUCCAUACAAGUCUCAUUUGACAUGUCAAAGAUCAACAAUGAAGAAUUUGAGGUCAGGUGAAAAGUUUCCAAAAAUAGUAAGUGACCUGUAAUUUCAAAUUGCCAAAAAUGGAAAGGUCUUCUCCUCAAGUUUACAUGUCCAAGAAUGCUUCAAAUGAAAUUUUGUCCAACAUGAAUGUUGAAGAUCUUGCUCUCACCUUUCCAAAAAGUCCAAGAACAUGAAUUUCUCAUGUGUGGUUGAGAAAUUAUGGAUCAAUCUUUGCCAAGUCAAUUUGAAGUUCAAGCUUGCAUAACUUUCACACCACAAGGCCAAAUGGAGUGGGGUUUUUUGCUACAAUCUUGUUUUAACAUGCUCUAUCCAAUUCAUGCAUUUCCAUUCAUCAAAAAUCAUUACAAAAAUAUUGCAUUUUUCAUGUGAAUUGAAUUUGAAUUUUGGAGGGAAAAGUUGAUUUUGAGAAUUAAGCAUUUUCCACACUUCCAAUCAAUUGCAUUUGGUUAAAAAUGAUAUUUGGAGUGUGUUUGGUUCAGAAAACGUGUAUUGUAGCAAGGCAUUGCAUGCAUGAAGAUCUAGAUCCAAUCACAAGAAUUGCACAAACUUUUUCUCUCCACUUUUCUCCAAAAUUCUCCAAAAACCUUGCAUUGAUCUUCAUAUAUCCUUGAUUCACAAGCAUUUUGGAGUGGAAUUGAAUCAAGAUCUCAUCAUUUUCGUGCUGUUUCAAGAACUGUCAAAGUGAGCUUCAUCAAUGGCAAAUACGAAUUUGAUCUGCAUCAAGCUAGAUUGAGCAACAUUCCUUCAUCUAUUCAUCUACUUGAGCUUUGAGGAUCAUCUGUUUCAACAUCACAAGGCCAGAAAAUCACGAAUCCGCUUCUGCAAUCUCUUGAAGGUCAGGAAUCGAUUCUCAUAGUUCUUGAAAUUAGGAUAUGUGUUUGAUAGAUCUUUCCAUGUGGAGCAUGCUGAACUUUGUAGUUUUGAUUUUCAUUGAGAAUUGAGGAAGUGCUUGUGAUUUUAAGUUUGAUAGACAAAACUUCUUCUGCUCAAUCUGUUCAUUAUAGCAAGAAUUAAGUUAAAUCAUGUUUAGAUUAGUGAUGAGCGUUGAAAGACAAAGCUAAUGAUAUGCGUUUCAUGAAUUUUGGUGAUGAUUCGUUCUUGAGCUGGGAAAUUGAUGAAGAACACUAUGAACCCUAAGUUUUCUUUCCCAGAACCCGUGUUUGAUCUUCAUUUCGCCUUGCCUGCAUGUUUUUCAUGUUUAUCGCUCAUGUACUGGUCCAAGUGCCAGUUUCUGAUUGGCCAGCGUUUCAAUUAAAUGAAACAUGGCGUUUUGACUUGGUGCGCCUCAGACUUUUGAAUAGGUAGCGCGUUCGAUUCCAUGCCUUAGCAUUCUCCUUUUUGGCUUUUGUAUUUUAUUUCACACUUAUUCAUGUUCAUGCUAUACCUUACUUCAUGCAUUUUUUAUUUUUUCUCUCCAUUCAAAAAAUAUUAAAUCCAAAAAUAAUGAUCCAAUUCACAUGAGAUUCUUUAUGCCAUGUUCCUUAAGAUCUCUACUUUUUUUUUAUGAUUUUUACAAAAAUUGUGCACGCCUGGAUUUUUAUUUUGGCUAGGGAAUUUUCACAUGUGUUCUUUCAUGUACCUUGCUUGCUAUUUUGGUUGUGAAAUGAUGAUGCUUAAUCCAAUGGAGCUGAGAAUUUACAUGUGUAAACUAGACACCUUUAAGGAUUUUUUGGUAUAGAGUUUGUGAUUUUAUCAUUUUUGGUUGUGGAGAUAUGCUAUGAUGAAUAAAGGUGUGACAAUGUGUGUCACACCUUGGGUUGCUCAAUUUGCUGAUUUUAUUUGCCAAGCCAUAUGAACUUCAAUUAAUCUGAAUUUUUGCAUGAUGAUACUUAUGGAUUUUAAGCUUGAGUGUGAAUUUUUGUGGAAUUGUUGAGUGCAUUUUCAAUUUGUUUGAGAAUUUCUCCCCUGUUUGACCAAUUGUGGACUUUUUGUGAGUCAUGAUCUUAUAUGAUUUGUGAUAUUCUUGAUGUUUAUUGGAUGAACCUGAAAUUUUGCACAUGUAUUCUAGAUACCUUGAAGUUUGCCUUGGAUUUGGUUUGAUGCAUUUAUCUUGUACCAAUUCUGUUUUAUGCUUGCUUGAAGUUGAAGUAUGAUUGUGUGUCUUGUAUGAGCUUGUUUGAGUAUGCUUUGACUUAUGGAUUUUAUUUGACAUGCUUCCACUUAUCUAAAUGACUUGAAUUUUGGUGUGAUGAUCCUUUGAUGAAUGCUGUUUAGCCAUGAUUUUUCUUGGGAUUUAUUGGAUGGUUUUUGAGUUAAUAUGAAUUGGAUCAUUCUGUUUGGGUCUAUGAGCUUUGAAUAUGCAUGCCUUGCCUUCUAUGCUUUAUGAAAUUAAAUUGGUUGAUGAUAUGAAUAUGAGACCACUUGGAUUUGUUUCUUAUUGGAUUAAAAUUGAUUCUUACCAAUUUUCAUGUUCUGUUUUGGUCUAUUGCUCCCAUUUUGACCCUAGGCCUUGUCUUAGUGGUUAGUGCUUAAUGUUUGAGCUUUGUUUCAGGUCAAAGAGCACAAUUGCUUAUACUUGAUGAUGUGCACUCAAUUGGAGUUGGUCCAUUGCUUGUUUAUGACUAACCUUGAGUUUGUUUUGUAUGCUUUGAGACUUGUACUUAGGCCUUGUGGCUUGCACCUUUGUGCAUUGCUUUGCUUGAUUGUUGUUUGACUGUGUACAGUUAACUGUUGACCAUUGUCUGUUUGACUUUUGUUUGAAUUGUAUACUGAAUAGGAUGCGACAUCCUAGCGAGCACGUUUUCCCCUAGUCCGAACUACGUCGACUCUGAUGUCUAUGCCUGAUAGACUACGUAGGCCCAGGAUGCGAUAUCCUGCCGAGUUAGUUUCGUUUGUUUUCGUGUGUCUCAUUCAGCCAAUGUGUUUGUUUGUGAGCAGUGUUUUAGCAACCAUAUUCCUUCCUUUUGUGCGUGGAUCCCGUCGAGUACGACGGAUGCGUAGGGGUGCUAAUACCUUCCCUUCGCAUAACCGACUCCUGAUCCCAUCCUCUUUGGUCACAAGACCAUGUCUUUUCCAGGUUUACUUCGAGCAUUUCCUUUCCCUCUUUUGGGAUAAAUAACGCACGGUGGCGGCUCUGUUGUUUUGUUUUCCCGCCGGUUUUUCGCGUAAUGCGACAGCCAUUGGUGCAUGAUAUGAAUAUGAGACCACUUGGACUUUGUUUUUAUUUGAUUGAACUUGAUUCUUGAUAAUUUUCAUGUUCUGUUUUGGUUUAUUGCUCCCAUUUGGACCCUAGGCCUUGUCCUAGUGGUUAGCCUCUCACAUUUUAGCUUUGUUUCAGGUUAAAGAGCACAAUUGCUUAUACUUGAUGAUGUGCACUCAAUUGGAGUUGGUCCAUUGCUUGUUUAUGACUAACCUUGAGUUUGUUUUGUAGGCUUUGAGACUUGUACUUAGGCCUUGUGGCUUGCACCAUUGUUUAUGACUAACCUUGAGUUUGUUUUGUAGGCUUUGAGACUUGUACUUAGGCCUUGUGGCUUGCACCUUUGUGCAUUGUUUUGCUUGAUUGUUGUUUGACUGUGUACAGUUAACUGUUGACCAUCGGCUGUUUGACUUUUGUUUGAGUUGAGUACUGAUUAUGUUGGAUUGUUUUCAGGUACAUUAGUUUCGAUAGUUCCUUUGUGAACUUUCUUUUGCUUUGCUUGAUAGCUUGAGCAUUGAGGUAUAAUGACUCUAACUCCAUGUAGUCUGGAAGACCUGGCCUGUUAUUUGGUCAGGCACCUGUCUGAAGUCCUCCUUAAGAGGCAAUGCUUGUGUUUGUUUAGAUUUGUGCCAAGCAGGAAAAGACCUCUAAGAGGCAAUUGGCAGAUAAAAGAGAUAUGCAAUCCAUCUCCUGCUAUUCAGUUGAGUCAUCCCUUUGCUCACACAACUGGUGUUGAUGCAUUGUGGAUAUUAACCCAAGAUCCUUGUACAGUUGAGUCAGUCAUAUGUGUAUAAGGGUUCCAUCUUUCUGAACCCACACAUUUCUUUGUCUUAAGCUCUCCCAGGCCAGGGAUAGUAGCUGUGAAGUCUUAUCUUCACUUCCCAUUUCAUCUGCUUCACCUUAACUGUCAAUGUUAAGGUUAAGAGCUAACAUCACCCUGAUACAGUUGGCUUGUGUUUCACAGCCUAACCCUUGUGUGAGCCCACUUUGUGUGUAUAUAGUGUGUGCUAUUUGUGUGAUUGUUUUGCUUUACCUAUGUUGAUUAGGAUAGCUUGCUCCCUGUGCAAGUUAGAUAGCAACCUUAACUUAGGGAUGAUAUGCAUGAUAACAUCUAGGCUCGAGUCGUAGUCUCCCUAGUUGUGUCUCCCUUUGUUAUCUAGUUAGGCAGCGUAGGGGAACUACGUCGCCCUGAUCCUCAUACCAGAUGAGGUACGUAGGCAGGAGAUGAGCUGAUCUCUCCGGGCGCCCUUUUUGUUUUGUCUCUUGUGUGUGUUAGGAGAUGGAUGUAAGACCAACGAUUGGCAUUCCGUAUCCUAUCGUUGUGUGCUUGGAGUCCGAUGUUAGUCCAGCGAUUGGCAUUUGGUUUCCAGUGUUCGUGCGUUUGGUUCGGAGUCUGAUGUAAGUCCAGCGAUUGGCAUUCGGUUUCCAUGUGUGCCUGUUUGUGUGGAGUCUGACGUAAGUCCAGCGAUUGGUAGUCGGUUUUCCUGUGUGGUUUUGUUUGGCGUGUGUUAGCCGAGCUACGAGUGCUCUGAUUCUUCUUUAGUCAGAGAAGAGACGUAUGCAUAGGAUGCGACAUCCUAGCGAGCAUGUUUUCCCCUGUCCGAACUACGUCGACUCUGAUGUCUAUGCUUGAUAGACUACGUAGGCCCAGGAUGCGAUAUCCUGCCGAGUUAGUUUCUUUUGUCUUUCCUGUGUCUCUUUCAGCCAGUGUUUGAUGUUUGAGCAGUGUUUUUAGCAACCUUUAUCCUUCCUUUUGUGCGUGGAUCCCGUCGAGUACGACGAAUGCGUAGGGGUGCUAAUACCUUCCCUUCGCAUAACUGACUCCCGAUCCCAUUCUCUUUGGUCGCGAGACCAUGUCUUUUCCAGGUUUAAGGAUCCCGUCGAGUACGACGAAUGCGUAGGGGUGCUAAUACCUUCCCUUCGCAUAACUGACUCCCGAUCCCAUUCUCUUUGGUCGCGAGACCAUGUCUUUUCCAGGUUUACUUCGAGCGUUUCCUUUUCCUCUUUUGGGAUAAAUAACGCACGGUGGAGGCUCUGUUGUUUUGUUUUCCCGCCGGUUUUUCGCGUAAUGCGACAGUAAGGAAUCAAAUGCGGCUGAUUAGUAUUCCAAUCUCCAUUGACCUGGUUGAUCACUAGAGUAGAAUCUCCAUAAAUAUCAAGAGUUUUGAUCCUUAGAUCAAUGGCUUCUUCUAUCCCCAUGAUACAAGCCUCAUACUCAGCUUCGUUGUUGGUGACAUCAAACGUCAAUCUAGCAGAGAAAGGUAUAUGAGCACCUUUUGGAUUGAUAAGCACUGCACCAACACCAUUACCAUUCACAUUCACAGCCCCAUCGAACAUCAUUGUCCACUUGUCAUCAGGAUCCGGUCCUUCCUCGACAAGAGGCUCUUCACAAUCUUUCAUCUUGAGAUACAUGAUGUCUUCAUCAGGGAAUUCAAACAUCAUAGGCUGAUAAUCUUCAAUCGGUUGCUCUGCAAGGUAGUCCGACAGAAUACUACCUUUGAUGGCCUUCUGCGACGUGUACUGAAUAUCAUACUCAGUUAAAAUCAUUUGCCAACGGGCAACACGUCCGGUGAGAGCCGACUUCUAAAAGAUGUACUUUACUGGAUCCAUCUUAGAAAUCAAUAAGGUAGUAUGGUUCAACAUAUACUGCCUCAGUCGGCGAGCAGCCCAGGCCAAAGCACAGCAAGUUUUCUCAAGCUGUGAAUAUUUAUUUCCACAGUCGGUAAACUUUUGCUAAGGUAGUAUAUGGCUGCUCUUUUCGACCAGACUCGUCAUGCUAUCCAAUACACCCCAUCGAGUUCAGUCACUGACAGGUUACAUUAUCAGCGGUCUCCAGGAACUGGAGGAAUCAGGUAUUGGAGGUUUUCUGUAAAUAUUCUUUAAUCUUGUCAAAAGCUUUCUGACAGUCAUCAUUCACCUGAUUGCUUGAUUCUUUUCUGAGCAAUUUGAAUAUCGGUUCACUCGUGGCAGUUAGGUGAGAUACAAACCUUGCAAUGUGUUCUUCAAUCUCCCUAAAAACCCACGAACCUGCUUUUCUGUUUUCGGUUCAGGCAUUUCUUGAAUAGCUUUGACUUUCGCUGGAUCAACCUCAAUCCCUUUCUCACUGACAAUGAAGCCCAACAGCUUCCCGGAUCGCACACCAAACGUACACUUGUUUGGCAUUCCAUUUCCUCUUUAUUGCUUUAUUGCUUAUUGCUUUAGCCUUGUGCUUGUUGCUUAUUCCAAAGGAGGGUACUUACUUGGAUCAUCUUCAUAUGAUCUCAAGAGAAGAACUUCUAAUGAAAUUUUUCAUCCCUAACCUUCACCCUUUUGUUUUCUUAAACCUCCAUUUGCAUGUUAACUCAAACCAGAAAAAUAUUGUGCAAACAUUUUCACUUGUUUUCAAAACUAGAAACCUAGGCCUUAAGCCUUUGAUUUUCAAACUUUUUUCAUAACACUUCUUUUGAAUUGAAUUCUAAAUCAAACUUUGACCAUCUUUGUGAAUACUUCUAAUUGGUUAAUUCCACUCACUCAAUUGCUUUUGUGGCCCUGACCCACUUCUUAAUCAAGUUUUCAUGCAUUAGCCAUAGAUCUGAAUUAUCUUAGUGGUUGAUGUGAAUCUCACCUUUUGUCCUUAGUGAUUGAAUGGUAAGACUUCCAUGCUUAUUAUAGGGCAUAGUCCCUCACUAGCAUGUUGAAGUUGUUCUCACAUGGUGGACUUGUGGUUGUUCAGGUUGAGUUUUCUCCCGUGGAUAAUGAAAGACCUUAAGGCUUUUGUUUAAAAUCAAUUCACUCAUAUUUUGAAAUUGUUACCCGAACUACGGGGUUUUGAUUCUUAUCUUUCAUGAGAGGGUACGUAGGAAAUGGGUUCAUCCAUCCAAACACAAAAAUAAUUAACUUGUACAUUCUUUUCUCAUCCCUUCAAUCUUGUUUGCACAAUAAAUAUUUCAUAAACAAUAAUUUUUUUUACAACAAUUUGUGAAAAGGGUUCCCUAGGAGAACCUAGGAUGUUAUGGGUGCCUAACACCUUCCCAUAGCAUAAUUACCCCUUACCCAGAUCUCUGUUUCUUUUAUUGGUUUUCUUUGUAAAACUUCUUAGGCUUUUGUUCGCUUUCUAGCCAUUCCUUUGGAUAAAUAGAAGUGCGGUGGCGACUCUAUCUUUGUAUGAUUUGAUUCUUAGGCUUUUGUUCGCUUUCUAGCCAUUCCUUUGGAUAAAUAGAAGUGCGGUGGCGACUCUAUCUUUGUAUGAUUUGCCUUGGAUCUAAUUAAUAUUUCCAAUGGUGACGAUUACACCGCUACAACAUCAAGAUCUAAAUUUUCCUGGAAAGUCAUUUUAUAUGGUGAAAGAUUAUAGGUCAUUUUGUCGGUGCCCUGGUUAGGAGGUCAAAUUCCAAGAACCAUAACUUCCUCAAUUUUUUUGAUAUGAAGGCCAUCUAAGUUUCCUGAUUAAAUUCAAUAUGUCUUCUACAUCUUUUAUUCUUCGAUAAAUAUCAAAUUCUACUUGCAAGGGCAUAUUCCAUGAGGAAACAUUAUAUGUCAUUUUUGGCCAUUACCAUUGAACAAGCAAUUUUCCUCAACUUGUAAAAUCUAUAACUCCCUCAUUCCAAAUCCAAAUGGUGUCAAAUUUGUGACCAAAUUUAAGAAGAAUUAAAUAGAUACAACUUUGGUGAAGAAACCAUUUUCAUUUGAAGCUCAUAGAAAAUGUUCUUCAAGGUGGAAGAAAUGGUCAAUUCACUUUGUACUUAUAAAAUUUUCAACCAUGUUUGAUUUCUUCAAUUUCCACCUUAUAAUUCAUCAUGAUCCAAGUUCCAAAUGAAAACAUAUUCAACAUAAAAGUUGUUACCCUUGAUGUCACCUUUCCAAAUCAUCCAAGAUCACUUGAUUUGGACAAGAAUUAAGGGACUUACGCAUGGAUACUUUACAUGGAUUGUUUUGGCAUUUUUGAACUCAAAUUCCAAUUACCUUGGCAUGGCUCCAUGUAAUGACAUCAGUGGAAUUUGUGCUGGAAUUGGAGUGGAUUGCAAUGAUCAUUUGGGCCUAACACAUGUCCAUGCACCCAUGCACUUGAAUUUCUAUUUUUGGCUCAAAAUUCAAAGGGUGUGAAUAUCACUUUCCAUGGCUUAUAUAAUGAACUCAUUGGCCUCAGAUUGAAGGAGGACAUUGCCCAAGCCUAGCCAAGAUAUCUCAGAACCUCAUUCAUAGAAUACCUUGAGGAUUUCGUAAAAAUUGAGCUUCUAGUUCAAAUUUUGUUUGUGAACUAGAACUCCAAGGAUUCGUAGCCAUUUCUAUCUCAAUCAAUCACUGCAAGCAAGAGAAGAAAGAAUCAUGUGGAAUUCCAUCAAUAUCAAGUCAAAUCACUGCAACCUGAAGGUGAUUUUUCAAAAUUUUCAAGCCUUCGAUUCUCUCUCAUUUCUCCAUAAUUCUACUUUUUUAUUGGUUUCCUAAAUUCCUAUCAAAUGUAGGCAACAAGAUUGAAUUACUUUGAGGUUAAAUCGAAGCAACUAAGAUCGUGUACCUCAAAAUUCAAGUCCCCGUAUCUUUAAAUAUACUUGUAAUUGGGUGAAGUUGAGGCCAAAUUCGAGCUCCUAAGCAUUUUAUCUUUGAAUUAGUGUAUGCACUUUUUAUUUUGGUCAAAUUUGAUGAUGGACCAGACCGGUGACGUCCACCGGAUAAGAUGACCGGAGCUAGGGCUCUGGUGACGUGUUGGUGUGCCGCCAGCCAUCUGAUCAUGUCGAAAUCUUUUAAUCUGAGUCAUCCCUUCUGAUUACAAUGCGUGUUAUGCGUUGACUCGGGCUCAUCAGGGAACACGCACGCUUUGCCAUCAGAUCUGCCACCUCAAUUAAUGGGUGAGAUCUUAUGGCCCUUGUGUUUUCUAUUUUCUUUUUAAUUUUGAUUUUAUGUUUAAUCCAUUUACUUUAUUUUAUUCAUAGAUAUUUCAUUUUUAAUCCAAAAAAUAUGAAUUUUUUUGUCUAAGGUCCUUUGACCUCGUCUAACCUUGGAUAAAUCCCUUGGCCAUUUAUUUGGUGUUUUAACGGGAUGUAAGGUUUUGUCCAUUUAAAAAUGCAUUUUAAUUCAUUUUUAAGUUGAUUUUUAAUUUAAUAAUUGUUUAAAAAAUCAUGUUGAGAUAUUUAAUUGGUCUUGAGAUGUUUGACUUUCUAUUUUUCCUUGAUCAUGGUUGAUUUGAAUUUUGUUUGACCAUUAUUAUUGGAUUUAGGGGAUUGAUGAAAUGUACAUUUCAUAUCCCAAAAUGAAUGGAUAGUAUUGAUCAGAUGAAAUUCCUCCUAUGAUCAAUUUGGGUUUCUAUUUCCCCUCCCCUCUUUGUCUUCAUCACUAUUCUCCCCCGAUCCUUCAUUGACCAAUGAUUUCUCUAAUGUCUAAAUACUAAUUGAUUAAUCAAUGAUCUUGUGUCAGUUGAAUCAACAUGAAUCUGAUUGAGAUAGGUCAUUCCCAUUUCUUUUAGUCUGUGGCAUGUUUUAGGAGUUUGGUUCUUUGUACCAAAUCUCUAACAUGAAUUAACACCUAUAUCUUUAUUUCCCGGAUGUAAUACCCCAAUUUUGACCCUAAGAUCCCUCAUGCUAUCUCAUCAUAUGCAUUAGCUUUGGGAUCACACCUUGGCAUCCUCCUUACCCCUCAUUCAUUGGGUUUGCAUUGGGAGAGAUCACCAAGAACAUUUGAUUGUAUCAUACUUUGUUUUUCAUUAUUUACUAACCAAAAUACCAAAAAUAUGUCAAUGUAUAGUUUACUUCUUUUGUAGGUAGUGUGUGUGUUCACCUAUGCUUCAUCAAGCUUAUAUAUAGGGUUUGAGACCCUCAAUGCAAGGAGACUCAACAAGAGAUGGUUCACAUUGACUAUAGACAUCAUAUAUGGAUCCCCAUGAUCUUCACAUAUAAUUUUGAUCAAGAAUUCACCAAGAGAUUGAAGCUUGUUUGCCUUGGAAACCCUAAUUCAUUUGGGUGUCUUUUUUGACUUCCUCAGCAAGGUUCUUCAUCAUUUGAUCAAAUAUUCAAAGGGAUGCCUAAUAUUAAACCAUCUUAUACAUAUAUUAUCCUACAUGAGUCCAAUAGAUAAAAAGAACUUCAAGUUUGCAAGAUGGUUUAUGGUGGAUGACCAGAGUUAGUCAACUAUUUAAAACUAGGAUCCCCUACACCUUAUCUCCUACAAUUUUUGUCAUAUGAAAAUUAUUCCAAGAGAAAUUUUACUCCUUAUGACAUUCCGGACAACUUUCAUGUUGAAGUCAAGAGCUAGUUUUUCUUGGAAAGUCAUUUUUGUGUGUGGAAUAUUAUAGGUCAUUUUGUCUGAGCCCUAGUUAGGAGGUCAACUUCCAAGAACCAUAAAUUGAUCAAUUUUUAUGAGAUAAAAGCCAUUAAAGUUUAAAGAUCAAAUUCAAGAUAACCUCUCCAACUUUGAUUCUUGGAAGAAAUUCAAAUUCAACUUGCAAGUGCAUGUUCCAAGAGGAAACAUUAUAGGUCAUUUUGGGUCGUUACCCUUGAACAAAGUGAUUUUCCAUAACUUCUAAAAUGCAUAACUCCUUCAUGCCUAAUCCAAAUGAGGUCAAAUUUUUGACUAAAUUAAAUAGGAUUGAAAGUUCUACAACUUUGAUGAAGGAACUUUUUCCAUUUAAAGCCCAUAACAAAAGUUAUUAAAGGUGGAAGAAGUGAACAUUUGACUUGGUAAUUAGAAAAUUUCCAAAUAUGUUUGAUUUCCCAAACUUCCACCUCAAAAUUGACCAUGAUCCAAGAUUCAAAUAGAAAAGUGUUCAACAUGAAAAUUGUUCCCCCUGAUCUCACCUUUCUAAAAAGUCUAACAUCAUCUUAUUUGGACAAAUAUUGAAGGACUUGCGCAUGUGUUAUUUUCAAAGGAUCAAUUGGAUGAUUUUCACCUCCACAUUUCAAACUCAAAUGCAUGGCCACAUGACAUGAUUUCAGCAUGAAUGCAUUAAAAAUUGCUAAAAAUAGAAAAAUUUGAAAGUGUGUGGAAAUGAAUCUCAUGGCCUAUAAAUACAACCCCUCAUGCCCAGAAUUGAGGACCUCAUGCCCAAGCUUUAAACCUGCAAUCCAAACCCUCACCAUUAAAGGAUAAUCUUGAAGGUUUUCAUUUAAAAAUUGAGCUUCAAAUAUCAUUCUGUUUUGAGAUUGAAACUCCAAGAGUCCAAGCCAUUUUCUGAACUUAAACACUUCCUACAAGCUCCUGAAUUAAAGCCAAGCACAAUUGGAAUCAAGAUCAAGCAAGGUUGAAGCUCCCUCGAAGGUAAUUUUUCAAAAUUUUCAUCUCUUCGAUUCUCCCUAAAUUCUUCAAUAUUCUUUAUGAUUUUUGGUUGGCUAAAGUCCUACCAAUGUAGGAAAGAAGAUUGAGUUGCUUUGAGGUCAAAUCGAAGCAACUCAAUUCAUGAUUCUCAAAAUUGAAAUCCCUGUAUCUUUUCAUAUACUUGAAAUUGGAGAAAAUUGAGACCAUAUUCGAGCUCCUGAGCCUUUUUUCUUUAAACCCAUGUCCUUGUUUUUCAUUUUGGGUAUUGUUGGUGGUGGACCAGUCCGUAAGGUCCACCGGAGAAGAAGACCAGAGCCCUAGCUCCAGUGAUGUGUUGUCAAUGGCCUGAACCAUCAGAUCUUCCUCCUAUCUUCUAAUCUUAGCCAUUUGUUUUAAUUACCACACGUGUAAACACGUUGACUGAAGUAUUGGUGGACUGUGCGCUUCAAGCCAUCAGAUCUGCCACCUCAAUUAAUGAGGGAGAUCUGAUGACCCUUGUUUUUUUGUAUUUUCUGAUUUUUCAUUUAAUUGUUUUAUUUGGUUUAAUUUAUAAUAAUUUCAUUUUUAAUCCAAAAAAUAUGGGACUUUCACCAAAAUUAUAAAAAUAUUUUUUUCUUUCAUUUUAUGAAUUAGAAUUAUUUUUUGGAUUAACUUUGAUAUUUUUCAUGAAUUAAAUGUUUUUGUGCAUAUUUUUAAUUGUUUAAAAACACUUCUGACUUUUAAAAAAUCAUGAAAUAUUUUGUAUAAGGUUCUUUGACCUUGCUUGACCUAGGGUAAAUCUCAUAGUCAUUUAUUUGGUGUUUUGAAGAGGUUUUAGAUUUUGACCAAACUAAUUUGUAUUUUAAUGCAUUUUUUAUUUGUUUUUUAUUGAUUAAUUGUGUAAAAAUUAUAUUGAGCCAUUUUUAUGGUAUUGUGAUUUUUGACUAUUUGUUUGGGCCUUGGUCAAGGUUGAUUUGACUUUUGUUGGAUUAAAAUCAUUGGAUUUAGGGGAUCGAUGAAAUGUACAUUUCAUCUCCCAUAAUGAACAAAUGAUUUUAAUUUGAUAAAAUUCCUCCCAUGGACAAUUUGUGUUUUUCUCAUCUCCCCUCCCUCUUCAUCUUCAUUCCAAUUCUUUUCCAUCCCUUUCAUUGACCAAUGAAAUCUCAAUAUCCUAAGGCUAAUUGAUUCAUCAAUAACCUUGUGUUAGAUGAACCAAUACAAGUAUUGAUGAGAUGGGUUCAUCCUUUUGAUCUUUUCUUUUAGUGUGUGGUAUGGUUUAGGAGUUUGAUUCAUUAUACCAAAUCUCUAACAUGCAUUAGCACCUAAAUUUUUAGGGCCCAACCUCAAAUAGUUGUGACUUCUACAUAAGUCCAAUUACAAUUGCUUAACAUAGAGCUAAAUUUGACCCUAAAGGCAUAUCAUUCUAGUAAGUGAGAUUGUAAGUCUCUCAUCUUUCAUGGUAUUGUAUGGAAAUUUGGACCUUAAAAUACCUAAUAAACAACCAAAACCCCAAAAAAAAUGUUUGCGUGGACUGUUGGAUCUGAUCUGAACUUUUGGAAUUAGGAUUAGGCAAUAUUCCAUAUGCAAAAGGACUUGGCCAAUGCCAACAUUUUUCAAACCAUGUUUUUGUAAUUUGAGCUUUCAUCUGAUGCAAGUAUUGGGAUCCACUUGAAUUCAUCUACUGCAUGAUCUUGAUGCAACUGUUAUUUUGAUAUGGUGUCUAAUGCUUUAUUCUGAGUUAAUCAAGGAGUAUUUCAUCUUAUACAUGAGAAGACAAAAAAGACUACUAGCUGUGGGAUUUGCUUGCUUGGAUUUGGCCGUCUUUAUUUGAUGCCUUAAUCUUCAUGAUGUCUGAUAUUGCUAAUUGCUUGUUGAUAAUUGUUUGAUUCAAAGUCCAAGGGGAAAAUGGGUUUUCUAUAUGACAUUCUUAUCUGUUGGUUUGCAUCCCAUAGGUGUUUUAAGGUCCUAAGACCACAAACAAAAUCAAAACAUACAAACAAAUAUAUACAAUCACAAGAUAUGGCUCAAGUGAGCAACGUGAAAAAGGACUAAAACAUAAACAAGUUGCAUGAAAUGUAAAUGGCAAUGAAUGAUAAAUUACUGAAAUUUAAAUUCCAUGAAGUAAAUGACUUGAAAGUAGAAGAAAAAUGAUUAAGGGUUAGUAAAUGGUUAGUCAAAUGUUAGUGUUGAGUUUUAAUUGAUUAAGUCAUUCUUUGGAGAACACUCAACCAUUCAUUCACAAGUAUGAAUCCUUGAACCAAGACAUCUUCCAUGAGAAGGGCUCCAACUUGGAUAACUCAACAAGUAUGUCACUAGCUCUCAUGAAAGGAAAAAAGGUCAAGUCUCCAUACAAUGCCAUAAAUAAUGGGAGACUUACAAUCUCACUUACUAGAAUGCUAUGCUUUGAAGGUCAAAUUUAGCGCUAUGUUAAGCAAUCAUAAUUGGAGUUAUGUAAAAGUCACAAUUAUCUGAGGCCGGGAAAUACAAAUAUAGGUGUUAAUGCAUGUUAGAGAUUUGGUACAAAGGACCAAACUCCUAAAACAUACCACACACUAAAAGAAAAAAGGGAGGGACCUGUCUUAGUUAGACUCAUAUUGAUUCAUUUGCACAAGGUCAUUGAUGAAUCAAUUAGAAUUUAGACAUUAGAGAUUUCAUUGGGCAAAUAAGGAAAUGGGAAAGAAUAGGGAUGGAGAUGAAGAGGGAAAGGGAGAUAGAAACACAAAUUGGUCAUGAGAGGAAUAUCAUCUGAUCAAUACCAUCCAUUCAUUUUGGGAGGUGAAAUGUACAUUUCAUCAAUCCCCAAAAUCCAAUGGUUUUGAUCAAACAAAAGUCAAAUCAACCAUGAACAAGGCCCAAACAGAAAGUCAAACAUCACAAGACUAAUUAAAUAGCUCAACAUAGUUUUUAAACAUUUAAUCAAUUAAAAAUCACAUAAAAAAUGAAUUAAAAUGCAUUUUAAUUUGGUCAAAACCUCACAUCCCUUCAAAACAACAAAUAAAUAGGAAAGGGAUUUAACCUAGGUCAAACAAGGUCAAACGACCUUAGACAAAAAAUUUCACAAUUUAUAGAAUGUGAGAAGUAUAUUUAAACAAUUAAAAAUAUGCAUAAAAACAUUUAAUUCAUGAAAAAUACCAAAAUCAAUCCAAAAAAUCAUUUUUAUUCAAAAUAUAGAAGACAAAAAUAUUUAAAGAUUUUUGGUGAAAGUCCCAUAUUUUUUGGAUUAAAAAUAUAAUUUCUAUGAAUUAAGUAAAAUAAGGCAAUUAAAUGGAAAUUUAGAAAAUACAGAAAAACAAGGGUCAUCAGAUCUCCCUCAUUAAUUAAGGUGGCAUAUUUGAUGGCCAAGCGUGUGUUAUCCAUGAUGCACUUCAAUCAACGUGCCACACACAUGGAAAUUUGAACCAAAGGGUGUGAUUUAAACGUUUGGAACAAACCAGAAGGUUGGGAAGGUGCCAACGCACCACAGGAGCCCUAGCUCUUGUCAUCUUCUCCGGUGGACCAUACCGGACUGGUCCACCACCAUCCUUCACCAAAAUAAAAAGUAUGGACAUGGUUUAAAAGGAAAAAUUCUCAGGAGCUCGAAUAUGACCUCCAUUUCAUCCAAUUCCAAGUAUAUUAAAAGAUACAUGGAUUUGAAAUUUAAGGUUCAUGAUCUGAGUUACUUCGAUUUGACCUCAAAGUAACUCAAUCUUAUUGCCUAUAUUGGUAGAACUUUAGAUAACCAAUAAUCAAGAAAAAUAGUUGUGAAAUGAGGGAAAGUCUAAGAAGAGAAGUUUGAGAAAAAUCACCUUCGGGUAGCUUCAAUUCAACUUGAUUUUGCUUCCAAUUUGACUUGGCUCGCCCCAAUAAGUUUGCAGGAACUGAAAUGGAUCAAAGAGAGGCUUGGAUUCUUGGAGUUUCGAUCCAAAACAGAAUCAGAAUUGAAACUCGAUUUCAAGUGAAAUCUUCAAGUUUAUCCUUUAAUGGAGGUUAGGGAUGCAAGGGUUCAAAGAUUGGAUAUAAGGGAUCCUCAUUCUGAUCUCAAUGGUCAUGUAUAUAUAGCCUAGCAAGUUGCUUUUCACACACUUUGAAACUUUGCCAAUUUUAGAAACUUUAGUGCAUGUAUGCAUGGGAGAUGAUUUGGGCUCAAUUCAUGAUUAAAUUCAAUUCCAAUUCAUGCACAAAGGAUCCUGAAUCAUUAACAUGUAAGCAUGCAAAAGGAAAUGGAUAAAUGAAUUCAAAUCUUGCCAAAAUAAACCUAUGAAAAGAACCAUGCACAAGUACCUCAAAUAUAGUCCAAAUGAAGUGAUUAUGGACUUUUUAGAAAGGUUACAUAACUUUCAUGUUUAAUACUUUCCCAUUUGAAGCCUGGAUCAUGAUGAAUUGUUUGGUGGAAAUUUUGAGAAAUCAAACAAUUGUAUUUUUUCUAAGUACCAAGUCAAAUGACCACCUCUUCCACCUUGAAUAACUUUUGCUAUGAACUACAAAUGGAAAUGGUUUCUUCAUCAAAGUUUUAUAUCUUUCAUCCCUAUUCAAUUUGGUCACAAAUUUGACUUCAUUUGGAUUUUGACCUCUUAACUAGGGCACAAACAAAAUGACCUAUAAUCUUUCACCAUUAAAAAUGAAUUUCCAAGCAAAACUAGCUCUUGAUGUCAACAGGAAAGUUGUUUGGAAUGUCAUAAGGAGCAACGUUUCUCUUGGAAUCAUUUUCAUAUGACAAAUACUAUAGGAGAUAGGGUCUAGGGAACCCCGGUUUUGACCAAUGGAUUUUCUCUGAUUAACCUCUUUGAACCAAGUUGCAAACUUGAAGUUCUUUUGAUCUUUUGGACUCAUGUAGGAUCAUAUAUGUAUAAUAUGAUGUAUUUUGAAGUAUACCUUGAUAUAUUGGACCAAUUGUUGAAUAAACUUAUUGAGGAAGUCACACAAGAUACCGAGAUGAAUUAGGGCUUCCAAUGUAAACUAGCUUCAAACUCUUGUUUAAUUAUUGAUCAAAAUGAUAAAUGAAGAACAUUGGGAUCCAUAUAUAAUGUCAAGAACCAUUUUGAAAUCUAUCUUGCAUUGAGGGUCUCCACCCCUAGUUAUAAGCUUGAUGAAGCAUUGGUGGAUGCAUAUAAUACCUACAAAAGAAACAAAGUUAUACAUAGACAUACUUUUGGUUUUUUGAUUAGUAAAUAAAUAAAAACAAAGUAUGAUACAAUGAAAUGUUCUUGGUGAUCUCUCCCAAUGCAAACCCAAUCAAUGAGGGGUAACGAGGAUGCCGAGGUGUGAUCCCAAAGCCAAUGCAAAUAUUGAGAUAGCAUGAGGGAUCUUAGGAUCAAAAUUGGGAUCUUACAUUAGGGUAAAUUUAGAGUAUGAUCGGUUCCAAUAAAUGUCUUCCUGUUAGAACUUGCAACAUUAUCGAACCACUAUUGAGAAGAAUCUCUAUGUUAAAGAAGGAGAGGAACACCCAAAUGGUGGGAGAGAGGGGCAUCUAGGUUAAAAAAUAUUAUAUGGAAAACCAUUAAAUUUCUCCAUACGUUAGAGUGAUUUAGGAAGGGGAGAUGUUAGUAAUCCCCAGUACGUCUGUCUCAAAAUAGGUAAAAGGGAACAAACCCCCCAACUCGUGGAUAAUAAGAAGCAGAAGACUCGCUCGCAAUGAGCAUAUUGGCUUUCUCCAUUUUUAAAAAGGGUUCUAGGGUCAUGUCCUUUUUGCGCAAUUUCAUGACUAACAUGAAACCAUCCUCUAUUUAAGACUCAUGUAAAGUUUGGAUAAAAAACAUUAUGACACUAUGAAAGAAAAUCAUUAAUAGAAGAACUAACAAGUCCUGAAUGAAUAAAAUACAAAGAUUAUAAGUGAAACAUAAUCUACUAAAGUACAAAUAUUAUGCUCUUACUAGACACAAGUAAACAUUUAAUUUUAAUCUCCAUAAAUUUUUUCCUAUGGUUAUUAUAAAAAUAAACAAUUAAUUAUAUCUCCUUAGUUUUUUCAAAGGUUAUUAUAUGUGUAUUGAUAUUUUAUUUGUUUGCAUCUUUUAAAUGUGAACAGGGCCAUCGUAACUAUUAAAAAGUAAGAGAAAUAUAAAUUGAAGAAUGAGAAAUAUCAGUAGCUUUACAAUAUUAUUAUAUAAAUAUAGAAGUAUAAAAUUUUAAGAAACUUUAAAUUAUUUUCAAUUUAAUUUUUAAAGAUACUUUGAGAGGUGAUAAGAUGGAUAAACGGUGCCAUGUAACAUUCUUUAUUCUCCUUAACCAACUUGUUUAGUAUGUGGAUAUGGAUAUUGUUUGUUAAAUUACCUUAAAAUUGAAUGUUCAAUGGAUCUAUUAAAUAAUACGCUUUCAAUUUUCUUUCAUCACGUGUCUCAUGCAAGACCCUAAUUAAAAGGUAAUGCAAAUGUCAAAAUUUUAUGUUAAAGUAUCAGAACAAUGAAUUAUGGAAUCUCGUCUAUCAUACUACAUAAUCUUUUUCAUUUCCGUUUAGUUAGAUUUGCAAAUAAGAGUGUUAGAUUACAUUAUUUUAUUUCCUCUAAAUAUUAUGUUGUAUGAUAUAAAAAGAGAAAAUAAGUUUUUUAUUAGGGUGCUUGAGGAGAUGUUGUAUCUCGCUCCAACUGAAUAGAUAAAACAUCAUUUGUUUGUGAAAAGCUUUUUUAUUCGCGUUGAGGAAGAAGUUAGAUUAAUGGGUUGAAAUCAUUUUUAGGUGGAAGAUAAUUAUUCGAAAGGAAGGAUAUACUCCUUUUAUAGAUAAAAGUAAAAAUAAAAAUAGAGAGGAAAUGGCUCGCUCGUAAUGAGCGUAUUGGCUCUCUGCAUUUAAAAACACGGUUCUAGGGUCACAUCCUCUUCGUGUAAUUUCUUGACUAACAUGUAUCCUCUAUUUAAGACUCCUAUAAAGUUUGAAUAAAAAACUUUAUGACACAGAGAAAGAAAAUUAUUAAUAUAAGAGGUAACAAGUCUUGAAUGGAUAAAAUACAAAGAUUAUAAGUGAAAUAAAAUCUACUAAAGUACGAAUAUUAUGCUCUUACUACACACAAGCAAACAUUUAAUAUUAAUCUCCAUAAAUUUUUCUUAUGGUUAUUAUAAAAAUUAACAAUUAAUUAUAUCUCCUUAGUUUUUUCAAAGGUUAUUAUAUGUGUAUUGAUAUUUUAUUUGUUUGCAUCUUUUAAAAGUGAACAAGGCCGCCGUAACUAUUAAAAAGUAAGAGAAAUAUAAAUUGAAGAAUGAGAAAGAUCAGUGGCUUUACAAUAUUAUUAUAUAAAUAUAGAAGUAUAAAAUAGUAAGAAACUUUAAAUUAUUUUCAAUUUAAUUUUUAAAGAUACUUUGAGAGGUGAUAGGAUGGAAAAGAAAAUAUGAUAUGCAUAAAUUGAAGGUCAUGAAUAUUUCUCUAAAAUUUAAAGGGAAGAAGAUACUAAAAAUAUUAUUAUUUGUUGUCCUAUUUCAUUUCAUUACAAUAAUACUAGUGUAUAAAUCCAGAACUAUUAGGUUGUUGUAAUAAAAUUUAAACAAAAACUCAAAUUAUUGAGGGUAAAAAUACAAUAUCCAAAUGACAUACGAUAACACAUAAAAUAUAUUAGGUGUUUGUGUCUUAUCUGGGGACUUUCAAUUAAAAACUAAAUUUGUAAACUCUUAAAGGAAUUUAUUUAUCUUCUCGGAUUAAGCAAUUCACGCACUAUUAUACAUUUACAAUUAGUGCGGUUCAUGCAUUUUCCUCUAUAAGGAGGUCGGCAAUAAAUUUUGUUUUCACAAUCUGAAUCAUCAAAACAUUUGAUUUUCUCUGCUGCAAUUAAAAAAACACUAUAAGGUUAUUAAAAUGAAAAAAAAAUACAAUGUAUGAAAUAAAAGAGAACAUUUAAAAUGAAUGAACAAAAGUUACCUUUAAUUUUCGUUCCAAUCAAAAACAGAGAGACUAACAUAAUCAUAACAUAAGCAAAUUUUACUAUUUGUACCAUAUUUCUCCUCGUUAUUUUUAUAAAUUAUUUUGUAACUUUGUAGUUUAUGAAUAAGAGUGGAUCCUCGCCUUUUAUAAUUUUUACUUGUGGACACUUAGUUGUAAAAUAAAUCUUAAAAUUAAAUUAAUUAGUAUAUAACUUUUCGAUACAUCAUUUUUUUGUCUUUGUCUCUUCAGCACAUCCAAAAAAGAUGUAAAAUAAAACAUGUCUAUCAUAAAAAUUUAUUCUUCUUAUAAUAAAAUUUUAAUCAUUUUAUAUUAUUUUACCUCGGAUGUGAAUGGGAGAUUACCUUAGUUAUAGAGAUGGGAUACCAAAGAGCGUCAUAAAAAACUAACAUCUUAUCGAUCGGUUUUGAAUAACCGAGGGGAAAGGUGAAAAAGUCAUUCAUUUGAUCCCCAGUGUAGGUCGGAUUUUUUUAAAAGUUAUAGAGAUGGGAUACCAAAGAGCGUCAUAAAAAACUAACAUCUUAUCGAUCGGUUUUGAAUAACCGAGGGGAAAGGUGAAAAAGUCAUUCAUUUGAUCCCCAGUGUAGGUCGGAUUUUUUUAAUAACUGAGGGGUAUAACCAAUGUUUUUUAAAAUUCCAUUUUAACUGACCUUGAUCAUUUUUUAUAUAGAUCCUACAAAUUAGGUGAGAGAAUCAUAUCAAUUGUAUUUUAUUUAGAAUAUAAAACAAAAUACCAAUUUUACAUUGUUUAUAAAAGCAAAUGUACAAUCCUUGCAAUACUUAUCGUGAUAUUUGGUAUACACAAAACCUAUGCCAAGAGAACCUAUACAUAUUUUCACCUAAAUUGACAAAACAUUUACACAAUGCUAGUGUAUAGAUAAAAAUCAAGAAAAACUAGUGUUUACUAGAUUCAUAAUGACAUAAGAAGACACUUGCACAACGUGAUCGGAUGUCAUCUAUAUCCUCUUGUGGAAAUGGUGUUUUAUUGCUAGACGCUUAUAAUUUGAACAAAAUUUAAAUUAUGAUAAGAUAACUACAACAAUAAUAAAUAACAAUUAUACAUAAAUUACAUGUAUAUGGAUAAAGUUAAUACCUUAUUCAAUGAAUUAAUAAUGCCAUUAGAGAAAAUAUUAGACAUAUGUAUCAUAGUAUUAUAUCGACAUAUAAAGUUCUGUGAAUACAUAAAUUACAUGUAUAUGGAUAAAGUUAAUACCUUAUUCAAUGAAUUAAUAAUGCCAUUAGAGAAAAUAUUAGACAUAUGUAUCAUAGUAUUAUAUCGACAUAUAAAGUUCUGUGAUUAUCUUCGCUGCUACAAAUAAUUUUCAUAUUGUUACUAAUUAAUACACACAAGACACAAGUAAUACAUUAGAGAAACUAAAAUAAUAUCAAAAAGCAUAAGUAAUACUUACACGUGGUUCUAUGAACUUUAGCUUUUUACCCUGUAUAUUACGUUUCACAAAAUUGUAUCCCUCCAAAUCAUUACAUGAUGGUAAAAAUCAAACAUGAAUAAAACUUUUCAAGACUAAAGGUAAAAUUUGAGUAUUCCAAAUAAUACCACUUACGCACUUAAAAUCUUUUGUAUAUCUUCAUCAAGAUGACAAUGUAACCAGCAUAACAUAACUAUAAUAUUUUUCUUCUGACAUAAAAUAAUUAAUUGCAAAUGUUUGCUACAUAAAAACAUAGAAUAAUUACCAAUGUGUGUAUAAAAUUGAUUUAUAAAUGAAAACACAAAUUAAAUCAUAUACUUAAUUAUGGAUAAAUUAUGACAUGUAAUAUUCUUUAUUCUCUUUAACCAACUUGUUUGUAUGCGUAUAUGGAUAUUGUUGGUUAAAUUACCUUAAAAUUGAAUGUUCAAUGAAUCUAUGAAAUAAUAUGCUUUCAAUUUUCUUUCGACACUUGUCUCAUGCAUGACCCUAAUUAAAAGGUAAUGCAAAUGUCAAAAUUUUAUGUUAAAGUAUGAGAACAAUGAAUUAUGGAAUCUCGUCUAUCAUACUAAAUAAUCUUUUUCAUUUCCAUUUAGUUAGAUUUGCAAAUAAGAGUGUUAGAUUACAUUAUUUUAUUUCCUCUGAAUACUAUGUUGUAUGAUAUAAACAGAGAAAAUUAUUGUUUUAUUAGGGUGCUUGAGUAGAGGUUGUAUCUCGCUCCAACUGAAUUGAUAAAACAUCAUUCGUUUGUGAAACGUUUUUUAGUCGCGCUGAGGAAGAAGUAAGAUUCAUGGGUUGAAAUUAUUUUUAGGUUGAAGAUGAUUAUUCGAAAGGAAAGAUAUACUCCUUUUAUAGAUAAAAGUAAAAAUAAAAUUAGAGAGGAAAUGACUCGCUCGUAAUGAGCGUAUUGGCUCUCUGCAUUUUAAAACAGGGUUCUAGGGUCACAUCCUCUUCAAGUAAUUUCUUGACUAACAUGUAUCCUCUAUUUAAGACUCAUAUAAAGUUUGAAUAAAAAACUUUAUGACACAGAGAAAGAAAAUUAUUAAUAGAAGAGGUAACAAGUCUUGAAUGGAUAAAAUACAAAGAUUAUUAGUGAAAUAAAAUCUACUAAAGUACGAAUAUUCUGCUCUUACUACACACAAGUAAACAUUUAAUAUUAAUCUCCAUAAAAAAUUUCUUAUGGUUAUUAUAAAAAUAAACAAUUAAUUAUAUCUCCAUAGUUUUUUCAAAGGUUAUUAUAUGUGUAUUGAUAUUUUAUUUGUUUGCAUCUUUUAAAGGUGAACAAGGCCACCGUAACUAUUAAAAAGUAAGAGAAAUAUAAAUUGAAGAAUGAGAAAGAUCAAUAGCUUUAUAAUAUUAUUAUAUAAAUAUAGAAGUAUAAAAUUGUAAGAAACUUUAAAUUAUUUUCAAUUUAAUUUUUAAAGAUACUUUGAGAGGUGAUAGGAUGGAAAAGAAAAUGUGAUAUGCAUAAAUUGAAGGUCAUGAAUAUUUCUCUAAAAUUUAAAGUGAAGAAGAUACUAAAAAUAUUAUUACUAUGUUGUCCUAUUUCAUUUCAUUACAAUAAUACUAGUGUGUAAAUCCACAACUAUAGGUUGUGAAAAUAAAAUUUAAACAAAAAAAAUUAUUGGGGUAAAAAUACAAUAUCCAAAUGACAUACGACAACACAUAAAAUAUAUUAGGUGUUUGCGUCUUCUCUAGGGACUUUCAAUUAAAAACUAAAUUUGUAAACUCUUAAAGUAUUAUUAUCUCCUGGGAUUAAGCAAUCACGCACUAUUUUACAUUUACAAAUAAGUUUGCUUAUGCAUUUUCCUCUAUAAGGAGGCCGGCAAUAAUUUUUUUGAUAAUCUGAAUCAUCAAAACAUUCGAUUCUCUCUGCUGCAAUAAAAAACACUAUAUGGUUAUUAAAAUGAAAAAUAUAACGUAUGAAAUAAAACAGAACUUUAAAAUGAAUGAACAAAAGUUACCUUUAAUUUUCGUUCCAAUAAAAAUAGAAAGAAUAAUAUAAUCAUAACAUAAGAAAAUUAUUACUUCUACCAUAUUCUCCUCGUUAUUUUUAAUAAAUUAUUUUGUAACUUUAUAGUUAUGAAUAAGAGUGGAUCCUGCCUUUAAUAAUUUUUACUUGUGGACACUUAGUUGUAAAAUAAAUCUUAAAAUUAAAUUAAUUAGUAUAUAACUUUUCGAUACAUCAUUUUGUUGUCUUUGUCUCUUCAGCAUAUCCAAAAAAGAUGUAAAAUAAAACUUGUCUAUCAUAAAAAAUAUUCUUCUUAUAAAAAUUUUUAAUCAUUUUAUAUAUUUUACCUCGGAUGUGAAUGGGAGAUUACCUCAGUUAUAGAGAUGGAUACAAAGAGCGUCAUAAAAAACUAACAUCUUAUACGAUCGUUUUGAAUAACCGAGGGAAAGGUGAAAAAGUCAUUCAUUUGAUCCCCAGUGUAGGUCGGAUUUUUUAAUAAUUGAGGGGUAUAACCAAUGUUUUUAAAAUUCCAUUUUAACUGACCUUGAUCAUUUCUAUAUAGAUCCUACAAAUUAGGUGACAGAAUCAUAUCAAUUUGUAUUUUAUUUAGAAUAAAACAAAAUACCAAUUUUACAUUGUUAUAAAAGCAAAUGUACAAUCCUUGCAAUACUUAUCGUGAUAUUUGUAUACACAAAACCUAUCGCAAGAGAACCUAUACAUAUUUCACCUAAAUUGACAAAACAUUUACACAAUGCUAGUGAUAGUUAAAAAUCAAAGAAAAACUAGUGUUGACUAGAUUCAUAAUGACAUAAGAAGACACUUGCACAACGUGAUCGGAUGUCAUCUAUCUCCUCUGUGGAAAUGGUGUUUUAUUGCUAGACGCUUAUAAUUUGAACAAAAUUUAAAUUAUGAUAAGUUAACUACAACAAUAAUAAUUAACAAUUAACAAUAAUUACAUGUAUAUGGAUAAAGUUAAUACCUUAUUCAAUGAAUAAUAAUGCCAUUAGAGAAAAUAUUAGACAUAUGUAUCAUAGUAUUAUAUCGACAUAUAAAGUUCUGUGAUUAUCUUUGCUGCUACAAAUAAUUUUCAUAUUGUUACUAAUUAAUACACAAAAGACAAAGUAAUACAUUAGAGAAACUAAAAUAUCAAAAAGCAUAAGUAAUACUUACACGUGUUCUAUGAACUUUAGCUUUUACCCUGUAUAUUACGUUUCACAAAAUUGUAUCCCUCCAAAUCAUUACAUGAUGGUAAAAAUCAAACAUGAAUAAAACUUUCAACAGACUAAAGGUAAAAUUUGAGUAUUCCAAAUAAUACCACUUACGCACUUAAAAUCUUUUGUAUAUCUUCAUCAAGAUGACAAUGUAACCAGCAUAACAUAACUAUAUAUUUUUCUUCUGACAUAAUAAUUAAUUGCAAAUGUUUGCUACAUAAAAACUUAGAAUAAUUAAAAUGUGUGUAUAAAAUGAUUUAUAAUGAAAACACAAAUUAAAUCAUAUACUUAAUUUUGAUAAAUUAUGACAUGUAAUAUUCUUUAUUCUCUUUAACCAACUUGUUGUAUGCGUAUAUGGAUAUUGUUUGUUAAAUUACUAAAAUUGAAUGUUCAAUGGAUCAUAUGAAAUAAUAUGCUUUCAAUUUCUUUCGACACUUGUCUCAUGCAUGACCCUAUUAAAAAAGUAAUGCAAAUGUCAAAAUUUUAUGUUAAAGUAUGAGAACGAUGAAUUAUGGAAUCUCGUCUAUCAUACUAAAUAAUCUUUUUCAUUUCCAUUUAGUUAGAUUUGCAAAUAGAGUGUUAGAUUACAUUAUUUUAUUUCCUCUGAAUACUAUGUUGUAUGAUAUAAAGAAAGAAAUAAUUUUAAAUUGAUAUUUUCAUUAUUAUAUUUUUCAUGAUUUAAUUGAUAUGUGAAUAUUUUUAAUGUUUAAAAAUACUUUGAAGUUUUCAAAAUUAUGAUUUUUUUCUCCAAGGUACUUUGACCUUGUUUGACAUAUGAUAAUCUCAUGGCAAUUUUUUUGUGUUUUGAUGAGGUUUUUAGGAAAUUGACCACAUAUUUAAUUUAACGCAUAUUUUGUUAUUUUUAAUUGUUUAAAUGCCAAAUAAAUUGUGUAGAGCCAUUUAAUUGACUUUGUGAGUUUGACUUGUGUUGUUGGACCUUGGUCAAGGGGAUUUGACUUGUUAGGUUAAGAUUAUUGGAUUAGGGGAUUGAUGGAAUGUAAAUUCCAUCUCCCAAAAUGAACGAAUGAUCUUAAUUUUGGUAAAGUCCUCUUGACCAAUUUGUGAUUGAUCCAUUCCCCCUCCCUCUUUAUCUCAUUCCCCUUCUUUAUUCAUUCAUAUCAUGGACCUAUGUAUAUCUACAUCCAAAGGCUAGUUGAUUGCAAAAUCAACAUGAGUAUGGAUGAGAUUAGGUCACCACUUUGCAUAUUCUUUUUGUGUGUGGUAUGUUUCAUGAGUAUAAUCCAUUAUACUAUAUCUCUAACAUGAAUUAACACCAAAUUCUAUUGCCCGACCUCAAAUAGUUGUGACUUCUACAUAAGUCCAAUUAUGAUUGCUUAAUAUAGCGCUAAAUUUGUGACACAAAAAGGCAUAGCCAUUAUAGUAGAAGUGAGAUGUAAGUUCCACUCUUUCAUGGUGUGAGAAACUUGCCAUUUUUUCCUCCCGUGGAAAUGUCUUGGUUACAGAGACCUGCUAGUGAUAAGUGCGUUGAGUGUUCUCCAAAGAAUGACUUAAACAAAAACAAAACAAAACAAUACUAACUCUAACCGACUAACACUAACAUAUUAUACAAGCCAUUUACUUUUAUGCACUUUAAUUGAGCUUUAAUUCAUUUGCCAUUAUUCAUACCAUUCAAUUUGUUACUUAAUGUCAUUUUCACUUGCGCACACUGGUGCAUAAUUUGUGAUAUAUUGUAUUUGUAUAUACUUGUUGUUUUGUGUGUCCUUUUCCUUAAUGUACAUCAUAAGAACAAAAACCCUAAUAAAUAUUUUCGUGGACUGUUGAUUUGAUCUGAGACUAUUGGACUUAGAAUUUAGGCAACACUCCCUAUGCAAAUGACUUGGCCAAUGCCAAAUUUCAUGAAACCAAUUGCUUGUGAAGUUAACAUCCAUAUGAUACAAUAUUGAAGAUCCAUUUGAGUUCAUCUGCAACAUGAUCAUAUUGAAACUGUUAUUUUGAACCUGUGUCUAAUGCUCCUCUUUUAAGUCAUCUGAUACAUGGGGAAUCAUAAAGAAAGAUCAUGGAGUUGCUAAUCUUAGAUGUGGCUAUCUUUAUUUGAUGUCUUGGUCUUCCACCUUGCUAUUUGUGUAAUUGAUAUUCCUUGAUUCUAAACUCCAUAGGAAAUUUGGUUUCUAUAUGACAUUUUUGUUUAUUGGAUUACAGCCGUGGUCAGAUCUUUUCAACUCUUAACUUUUAAAUUCGUGCUUAGGAUUAGUCUCUUCAUCUCCUUCCAUUCUUUUAAUUUCAAAAUCUCUCCCUCCUUUUAAAACCUUUUUCAUUGUGUUUGUUUUCUAAACUUAGACCAUUUUUUUGCAAAUUAGAAACUUUGGCCUUAUGCCAUUGCAUUUUUAAACUCUUUUCUCAAUCAAACCUGUAAAUAAACUUAAUUAUACUUGACUUAAAAUUUUAGAAAGAAAAAAGAACUAACACUCAUUCAAAUAAUUUUGGCCUUUUUGUGCCUUGUUAAACUUAAAUUUUGUUAAAAGCAAUGCACUCAUUUUGAAUUAAUACCACGAACUACGAGUUUUGAUCCCUCAUUUUGUGUUGGUACCUAGCACAAGUCUGAAGGUCUUGUCAAACACAAAAAUAUAUUUAAUGAAUCUUUUUCUCAUCCCUCCACUCUAUUUUUUUUGCAAACAUCAGUUGUACAAAAACACAUAUCCAAAAAAAAGGGCUCCCUAGGAUAACCUAUGACAAUUUGGGUGCUAACAUCUUCCCUCUGUGUAAUCCACCCCCUUAUCCGUAAUCUCUGACAUUUUAUUAGUUUUGAUUUAAAAACUUCUUAUCUUUUGAGUUUUGUUCGUCCUUUUCCCUCUUCCUUGAAAAACCCAAAAGCGCGGUGGCGACUCUGGUUUUAUUGAAUUUAGCAUAUCCAUAGCUUAAUGGUCAUGGCAACCAAAUCAAAUCAGGAGUAUAUUAUUUGAUGAGAAUGUAUUAGCACCCCCGCAUAUUGUUGUACUCAACGAGAACCAUUUAGUUAAAUUUACGUGUAAAAGUGUUAGAUUAUGAUUUUAUUUCAUUUGAUUAUUAUGUUGUAUGAAAUAACCAAUAAAAUAAGUUUUUUAAUUAGGGUGCCUGACAGAAUUUUAAAUCUCGCUCCAACUGAAUAGAUAAAACAUCAUUCGUUUGUGAAAAGUUUUUUAGUCGUGCUGAGGAAGAAGUAGGAUUGAUGGGUUGAAAUAUUUUUUAGGUGGAAGAUGAUUAUUCUAAAGGAAAGAUAUACUCCUUUAUGGAUACAAGUAAAUAAAAAUAGAGAGUACAUGACUCGCUCGCAAUGAGAAAAUUGUCUCUCUCCUUUUUUAAACAUGGUUCUAGGGCCACAUCCUCUUCGUGUAAUUAAUUGACUAACAUAUAUCCUCUAUUUAAGACUUAUGUAAAGUUUGGAUAAAAAACUUUAUGACACAAAGAGGGAAAUAAUUAAUAGAAGAGUAACAAGUCUUGAAAUGGAUAAAAUACAAAGAUUAUAAGUGAAACAAAAAUCUACUAAACUACACAUAUUAUGCUCUUACUAGACACAAGUAAACAAUUAUUUUAAUCGCAUAAUAUUCUCCAAUGGUAAUAUAAUAAACAAUUAAUUAGAUCUCCUGAGUUUUUUCAAAGGUUGUUAUAUGUGUAUUGAUGUUUUAUUUGUUCACAAUUUUAAAAAGUCAACAAGGUCACUGUAAUUAUUAAAAAGAAAAGAGAAUAUAAAUGAAGUAUGAGGAAGAUCACUAGUUUUACAAUAUUAUUAUAUAAUAUAGAAGUACAAAGUAUAAGAAACUUUAACUUAUUUUCCAAUAAAUCUCUAGAGUUACUUUGAGAGGUGAUAUGAUUGAAAAGAAAAUGUAAUAUGGAUAAAUUGAAGGUCAUGAAUAUUUCUCUAAAAUUAAAAGGGAAGAAGGCAUCAAAAUAUUAUUAGUUUUUUCUAAAAUUAAAAAAGAGAAGAAGACAAUAAAAAAUGAAAAUAUAUUAUUUGUUAUUUUAUUUCAUUUCAUUACAAUCAUGUUACUAUAUAACCAACAACUACCAGGUUCUUGAAAUAGAACAAAAACAAAUAAGAUUGUUGGGGUAACCAUACAAUAUCCAAAUGAUAUGCGACAACACAAUAUAUAGGUGUUUGUGUGUUCUCUCGGGUCUCUCUUUUUAUGAGAUGUUUGUAAACUACUAAAGAUAUUUCUUUAUCUUCUCGAUUAAGCAAUUCAAGUCCUAGUACUCAUUAAACAAUGACUCUUGUUAUGCAUGUUCUUUAAAAGGAAACCGAAAAAAAAAUAUUUCUACAAUCUGAAUCAUCAAAACAUUUAAUUCUUUCUCCUACAAUAAAAACACACAAUAAGGUUAUUAAAAUAAUAAAAAAUACAAGGUAUGAAAUAAAAAAUAAAGUGUUAAAUGAAUGAAUUGAAGUUUCCUUCAAUUUUCGAUCCAAUAAAAAUAUAAAAGAUUAAUAUAAUCAUAACUUAAUAGAACUUUAUUAUUUCUAUCCUAUUUCUCCUCGUUAUAUUUAAUAAAUUAUUUUAUAACUUUAUAGUUUAAAUAACAGUGCAUCCUCACCCUCUUUAUAUCUCUUAAUUAUGGAUACAUAGUUGCAAAAUAAAUCUUAAAAAGAUGUCACAUCAUUUUGUUGUGUUAGUCUCUUCAGCACAUCUAAAAAAGAUGUCGGAUAAAACUUGUCUAUCAAAAAAUAUUUUCUUCUUAUAAUAAAAUUCUAAUUAUUUUAAAUUAUAUUACCUCGGAUGUGAAAUGGAGAUUACCUCAGUUAUAGAGAUUGGAUAACAAAGGGCAUCAUAAAAAACUAAUAUUUUAUCCAUCGGUUUUGAAUAACCGAGGGGAAAGGUGAAAAAGUCAUUGACUUGAUCCCAAUUUACGUAGGAUUUUUUAAAAUAACCGAGGGGUAAUAACCAAUGUUUUUUAAAAUUCCAUUUUGACUUACCUAAAUCAAUUUUUACAUAGAGCCUACAAUUAAGUGACAGAAUCAUAACGUUUGUAUUUUAUAUAGAAUACAAUACAGAAUAUCAUUUUAGCAUUGUUUAGCAAAACGUAAAUGUACAACCUUACACAAUACUUUAUAAUGCUAAUUUGGUAUACACAAAACCUCUACCUAAGAGAAACCUAUACAUAUUUGCACCUAAAUGAAAAGAACCUGCUACACAAUGCAAGUGUAUAGAUUAAAUAAAGAAAAAUCUCUCUCGGCGCGGAUUGCGCUGCACGAUUGCGCGAGAAGAUGUUGACCGAGUAAAACGUGAGAGAGUCAGGCUACGAGAGAUGUAANUAUAAUUAUUGGGGGUAAAAAUACAAUAUCCAAAUGACAUACGACAACACAUAAAAUAUAUUAGGUGUUUGCGUCUUCUCUAGGGACUUUCAAUUAAAAACUAAAUUUGUAAACUCUUAAAGGUAUUUAUUUAUCUCCUGGGAUUAAGCAAUUCACGCACUAUUUUACAUUUACAAUAAGUGUUGCUUAUGCAUUUUCCUCUAUAAGGAGGCCGGCAAUACAUUUUGUUUUGAUAAUCUGAAUCAUCAAAACAUUUGAUUCUCUCUGCUGCAAUAAAAAAACACUAUAUGGUUAUUAAAAUGAAAAAAAAUAUAACGUAUGAAAUAAAACAGAACAUUUAAAAUGAAUGAACAAAAGUUACCUUUAAUUUUCGUUCCAAUAAAAAAUAGAAAGAAUAAUAUAAUCAUAACCUAAGGAAAAUUUAUUACUUCUACCAUAUUUCUCCUCGUUAUUUUUAAUAAAUUAUUUUGUAACUUCAUAGUUUAUGAAUAAGAGUGGAUCCUCGCCUUUAAUAAUUUUUACUUGUGGACACUUAGUUGUAAAAUAAAUCUUAAAAUUAAAUUAAUUAGUAUAUAACUUUUCGAUACAUCAUUUUGUUGUCUUUGUUCCUCUUCAAGCAUAUCCAAAAAAGGAUGUAAAUAAAACUUGUCUAUCAUAAAAAUAUAUUCUUCUUAAUAAAAAUUUUAAUCAUUUUAUAUUAUUUUACCUCGGAUGUGAAUGGGAGAUUACCUCAGUUAUAGAGAUGGGAUACCAAAGAGCGUCAAAAAAAACUAACAUCUAUCGAUCGGUUUUGAAUAACCGAGGGGAAAGGUGAAAAGUCAUUCAUUUGAUCCCCAGUGUAGGUCGGAUUUUUUAAUACUGAGGGGUAUAACCAAUGUUUUUUAAAAUUCCAUUUUAACUGACCUUGAUCAUUUUAUAUAGAUCCUACAAAUUAGGUAGAGAAUCAUAUCAUUGUAUUUUAUUUAGAAUAUAAAACAAAAUACAAUUUUACAUGUUUAUAAAGCAAAUGUACAAUCCUUGCAAUACUUAUCGUGAUAUUGGUAUACACAAAACCUAUGCCAAGAGAACCUAUACAUAUUUCACCUAAAUUGACAAAACAUUUACACAAUGCUAGUGUAUAGAUAAAAAUCAAGAAAAACUAGUGUUUACUAGAUUCAUAAUGACAUAAGAAACACUUGCACAACGUGAUCGGAUGUCAUCUAUAUCCUCUUGUGGAAAUGGUGUUUUAUUGCUAGACGCUUAUAAUUUGAACAAAAUUUAAAUUAUGAUAAGAUAACUACAACAAUAAUAAAAUAACAAUUAUACAUAAAUUACAUGUAUAUGGAUAAAGUUAAUACCUUAUUCAAUGAAUUAAUAAUGCCAUUAGAGAAAAUAUUAGACAUAUGUAUCAUAGUAUUAUAUCGACAUAUAAAGUUCUGUGAUUAUCUUCGCUGCUACAAAUAAUUUCAUAUUGUUACUAAUUAAUACACACAAGACACAAGUAAUACAUUAGAGAAACUAAAAUAAUAUCAAAAAGCAUAAGUAAUACUUACACGUGGUUCUAUGAACUUUAGCUUUUUACCCUGUAUAUUACGUUUCACAAAUUGUAUCCCUCCAAAUCAUUACAUGAUGGUAAAAAUCAAACAUGAAUAAAACUUUUCAAGACUAAAGGUAAAAUUUGAGUAUUCCAAAUAAUACCACUUACGCACUUAAAAUCUUUUGUAUAUCUUCAUCAAGAUGACAAUGUAACCAGCAUAACAUAACUAUAAUAUUUUUCUUCUGACAUAAAAUAAUUAAUUGCAAAUGUUUGCUACAUAAAAACAUAGAAUAAUUACCAAUGUGUGUAUAAAUUGAUUUAUAAAUGAAAACACAAAUUAAAUCAUAUACUUAAUUAUGGAUAAAUUAUGACAUGUAAUAUCUUUUAUUCUCUUUAACCAACUUGUUUGUAUGCGUAUAUGGAUAUUGUUUGGUUAAAUUACCUUAAAAUUGAAUGUUCAAUGAAUCUAUGAAAUAAUAUGCUUUCAAUUUUCUUUCGACACUUGUCUCAUGCAUGACCCUAAUUAAAGGUAAUGCAAAUGUCAAAAUUUUAUGUUAAAGUAUGAGAACAAUGAAUUAGGGAAUCUCGUCUAUCAUACUAAAUAAUCUUUUUCAUUUCCAUUUAGUUAGAUUUGCAAAUAAGAGUGUUAGAUUACAUUAUUUUAUUUCCUCUGAAUACUAUGUUGUAUGAUAUAACAGAAGAAAUUAUUGUUUUAUUAGGGUGCUUGAGUAGAGGUUGUAUCUCGCUCCAACUGAAUUGAUAAAACAUCAUUCGUUUGUGAAACGUUUUUAGUCGCGCUGAGGAAGAAGUAAGAUUCAUGGGUUGAAAUUAUUUUAGGUUGAAGAUGAUAUUCGAAAGGAAAGAUAUACUCCUUUAUAGAUAAAAGUAAAAAUAAAAUUAGAGAGGAAAUGACUCGCUCGUAAUGAGCGUAUUGGCUCUCUGCAUUUUAAAACAGGGUUCUAGGGUCACAUCCUCUUCAAGUAAUUUCUUGACUAACAUGUAUCUCUAUUUAAGACUCAUAUAAAGUUUGAAUAAAAACUUUAUGACACAGGAAAGAAAAUUAUUAAUAGAAGAGGUAACAAGUCUGAAUGGAUAAAAUACAAAGAUUAUUAGUGAAAUAAAAUCUACUAAAGUACGAAUAUUCUGCUCUUACUACACACAAGUAACAUUUAAUAUUAAUCUCCAUAAAAAUUUCUUAUGGUUAUUAUAAAAAUAACAAUUAAUUAUAUCUCCAUAGUUUUUCAAAGGUUAUUAUAUGUGUAUUGAUAUUUUAUUUGUUUGCAUCUUUUAAAAGGUGAACAAGCGCCACCGUAACUAUUAAAAAGUAGAGAAAUAUAAAUUGAAGAAUGAGAAAGAUCAAUAGCUUAUAAUAUUAUAUAUAAAUAUAGAAGUAUAAAAUUGUAAGAAACUUUAAAUUAUUUUCAAUUUAUUUUUAAGAUACUUUGAGAGGUGAUAGGAUGGAAAAGAAAAUGUGAUAUGCAUAAAUUGAAGGUCAUGAAUAUUUCUCUAAAAUUUAAAGUGAAGAAGAUACUAAAAAUAUUAUUACUUGUUGUCCUAUUUCAUUUCAUUACAAUAAUACUAGUGUGAAAUCCACAACUAUAGGUUGUGAAAUAAAAUUUAAACAAAAAUAUAAUUAUUGGGGUAAAAUAAAUAUCCAAAUGACAUACGACAACACAUAAAAUAUAUUAGGUGUUUGCGUCUUCUCUAGGGACUUUCAAUUAAAAACUAAAUUUGUAAACUCUUAAAGGUAUUUAUUUAUCUCCUGGGAUUAAGCAAUCCACGCACUAUUUUACAUUUACAAUAAGUGUUGCUUAUGCAUUUUCCUCUAUAAGGAGGCCGGCAAUAUAUUUUAUUUUGAUAAUCUGAAUCAUCAAAACAUUCGAUUCUCUCUGCUGCAAUAAAAAAACACUAUAUGGUUAUUAAAAUGAAAAGAAAUAUAACGUAUGAAAUAAAACAGAACAUUUAAAAUGAAUGAACAAAAGUUACCUUUAAUUUUCGUUCCAAUAAAAAAUAGAAAGAAUAAUAUAAUCAUAACAUAAGGAAAAUUUAUUACUUCUACCAUAUUUCUCCUCGUUAUUUUUAAUAAAUUAUUUUGUAACUUUAUAGUUUAUGAAUAAGAGUGGAUCCUCGCCUUUAAUAAUUUUUACUUGUGGACACUUAGUUGUAAAAUAAAUCUUAAAAUUAAAUUAAUUAGUAUAUAACUUUUCGAUACAUCAUUUUGUUGUCUUUGUCUCUUCAGCAUAUCCAAAAAAGAUGUAAAAUAAAACUUGUCUAUCAUAAAAAUAUAUUCUUCUUAUAAAAAAUUUUUAAUCAUUUUAUAUUAUUUUACCUCGGAUGUGAAUGGGAGAUUACCUCAGUUAUAGAGAUGGGAUACCAAAGAGCGUCAUAAAAAACUAACAUCUUAUAGAUCGGUUUUGAAUAACCGAGGGGAAAGGUGAAAAAGUCAUUCAUUUGAUCCCCAGUGUAGGUCGGAUUUUUUUAAUAAUUGAGGGGUAUAACCAAUGUUUUUUAAAAUUCCAUUUUGACUGACCUUGAUCAUUUUCUAUAUAGAUCCUACAAAUUAGGUGACAGAAUCAUAUCAUUUGUAUUUUAUUUAGAAUAUAAAACAAAAUACCAAUUUUACAUUGUUUAUAAAAGCAAAUGUACAAUCCUUGCAAUACUUAUCGUGAUAUUUGAUAUACACAAAACCUAUUCCAAGAGAACCUAUACAUAUUUGCACCUAAAUUGACAAAACAUUUACACAAUGCUAGUGUAUAGUUAAAAAUCAAGAAAAACUAGUGUUGACUAGAUUCAUAAUGACAUAAGAAGACACUUGCACAACGUGAUCGGAUGUCAUCUAUAUCCUCUUGUGGAAAUGGUGUUUUAUUGCUAGACGCUUAUAAUUUGAACAAAAUUUAAAUUAUGAUAAGUUAACUACAACAAUAAUAAAUUAACAAUUAUACAUAAAUUACAUGUAUAUGGAUAAAGUUAAUACCUUAUUCAAUGAAUUAAUAAUGCCAUUAGAGAAAAUAUUAGACAUAUGUAUCAUAGUAUUAUAUCGACAUAUAAAGUUCUGUGAAUACAUAAAUUACAUGUAUAUGGAUAAAGUUAAUACCUUAUUCAAUGAAUUAAUAAUGCCAUUAGAGAAAAUAUUAGACAUAUGUAUCAUAGUAUUAUAUCGACAUAUAAAGUUCUGUGAUUAUCUUUGCUGCUACAAAUAAUUUUCAUAUUGUUACUAAUUAAUACACAAAAGACAUAAGUAAUACAUUAGAGAAACUAAAAUAAUAUCAAAAAGCAUAAGUAAUACUUACACGUGGUUCUAUGAACUUUAGCUUUUUACCCUGUAUAUUACGUUUCACAAAAUUGUAUCCCUCCAAAUCAUUACAUGAUGGUAAAAAUCAAACAUGAAUAAAACUUUUCAAAACUAAAGGUAAAAUUUGAGUAUUCCAAAUAAUACCACUUACGCACUUAAAAUCUUUUGUAUAUCUUCAUCAAGAUGACAAUGUAACCAGCAUAACAUAACUAUGAUAUUUUUCUUCUGACAUAAAAUAAUUAAUUGCAAAUGUUUGCUACAUAAAAACUUAGAAUAAUUAAUAAUGUGUGUAUAAAAUGAUUUAUAAAUGAAAACACAAAUUAAAUCAUAUACUUAAUUAUUGAUAAAUUAUGACAUGUAAUAUUCUUUAUUCUCUUUAACCAACUUGUUUGUAUGCGUAUAUGGAUAUUGUUUGUUAAAUUACCUUAAAAUUGAAUGUUCAAUGGAUCUAUGAAAUAAUAUGCUUUCAAUUUUCUUUCGACACUUGUCUCAUGCAUGACCCUAUUUAAAAAGUAAUGCAAAUGUCAAAAUUUUAUGUUAAAGUAUGAGAACGAUGAAUUAUGGAAUCUCGUCUAUCAUACUAAAUAAUCUUUUUCAUUUCCAUUUAGUUAGAUUUGCAAAUAAGAGUGUUAGAUUACAUUAUUUUAUUUCCUCUGAAUACUAUGUUGUAUGAUAUAAAGAAAGAAAAUAAUUUUUAAUUGAUAUUUUCAUUAUUAAUAUUUUUCAUGAUUUAAUUGAUAUGUGAAUAUUUUUAAUUGUUUAAAAAUACUUUGAAGUUUUCAAAAAUUAUGAAUUUUUUUCUCCAAGGUACUUUGACCUUGUUUGACAUAUGAUAAAUCUCAUGGCAAUUUUUUUGGUGUUUUGAUGAGGUUUUAGGAAAUUGACCAACCAUUAUUUAAUUUAACGCAUAUUUUGUUUAUUUUUAAUUGUUUAAAUGCCAAAUAAAUUGUGUAGAGCCAUUUUAAUUGACUUUGUGAGUUUGACUUGUGUUGUUGGACCUUGGUCAAGGUGGAUUUGACUUUGUUAGGUUAAGAUUAUUGGAUUUAGGGGAUUGAUGGAAUGUAAAUUCCAUCUCCCAAAAUGAACGAAUGAUCUUAAUUUUGGUAAAAGUCCUCCUUUGACCAAUUUGUGAUUGAUCCAUUCCCCCUCCCUCUUUAUCUCAUUCCCCUUCUUUAUUCAUUCAUAUCAUGGACCUAUGAUAUCUCUACAUCCAAAGGCUAGUUGAUUGCAAAAUCAACAUGAGUAUGGAUGAGAUUAGGUCCACCACUUUGCAUAUUCUUUUUGUGUGUGGUAUGUUUCAUGAGUAUAAUCCAUUAUACUAUAUCUCUAACAUGAAUUAACACCAAAAUUCUAUUGCCCGACCUCAAAUAGUUGUGACUUCUACAUAAGUCCAAUUAUGAUUGCUUAAUAUAGCGCUAAAUUUGUGACACAAAAAGGCAUAGCAUUAUAGUAAGUGAGAUUGUAAGUUUCCACUCUUUCAUGGUAUUGUGUAGAAACUUGGCAUUUUUUCCUUCCUGUGGAAGAUGUCUUGGUUCAAGGAUCCAUGCUAGUGAUAAGUGCGUUGAGUGUUCUCCAAAGAAUGACUUAAACAAAAACAAAACAAAAACAAUACUAACUUCUAACCGACUAACAACUAACAUUUAAUUUCAAGCCAUUUACUUUUAUGCACUUUAAUUUUGAGCUUUUAAUUCAUUUGCCAUUAUUCAUACCAUUCAAUUUGUUUACUUAAUGUCAUUUUCACUUUGUCCACUUGGGUCAUAAUUUGUGAUAUAUUGUAUUUGUAUAUACUUGUUGGUUUGUGUGGUCCUUUUACCUUAAUGUACAUCAUAAGAACAAAAACCCUAAUAAAUAUUUUUCGUGGACUGUUGAUUUGAUCUGAGACUAUUGGACUUAGAAUUUAGGCAACACUCCCUAUGCAAAUGACUUGGCCAAUGCCAAAUUUCAUGAAACCAAUUGCUUGUGAAGUUAACAUCCAUAUGAUACAAUAUUGAAGAUCCAUUUGAGUUCAUCUGCAACAUGAUCAUAUUGAAACUGUUAUUUUGAACCUGUGUCUAAUGCUCCUCUUUUAAGUCAUCUGAUACAUGGGGAAUCAUAAAGAAGAUCAUGGAGUUGCUAAUCUUAGAUGUGGCUAUCUUUAUUUGAUGUCUUGGUCUUCACCUUGCUAUUUGUGUAUUGAUAUUCCUUGAUUCUAAACUCCAUAGGAAAUUUUGGUUUCUAUAUGACAUUUUUGUUUAUUGGAUUACAGCCCAGUGGUCAGAUCUUUUCAACUCUUAACUUUUAAAUUCGUGCUUAGGAUUAGUCUCUUCAUCUCCUUCCCAUUUCUUUAAUUUCAAAAUCUCUCCCUCCUUUUAAAACCUUCUUUCAUUGUGUUUGUUUUCUAAACUUAGACCAUUUUUUUGCAAAUUAGAAACUUUGGCCUUAUGCCAUUGCAUUUUUAAACUCUUUUCUCAAUCAAACCUGUAAAUAAACUUAAUUAUACUUGACUUAAAAUUUUAGAAGAAAAGAAGAACUAACACUCAUUCAAAUAAUUUUAGGCCUUUUGUGCCUUUGUUAAACUUAAAUUUUUGUUAAAAGCAAUGCACUCAUUUUGAAAUUAAUACCACGAACUACGAGGUUUUGAUCCCUCAUUUUUGUGUUGGUACCUAGGCACAAGUCUGAAGGUCUUGUCAAACACAAAAAUAUAUUUAAUGAAUCUUUUUCUCAUCCCUCCACUCUAUUUUUUUUUGCAAACAUCAGUUGUACAAAAACACAUAUGCACAAAAAAAGGGCUCCCUAGGAUUACCUAUGACAAUUUGGGUGCUAACAUCUUCCCUCUGUGUAAUCCACCCCCUUAUCCGUAAUCUCUGACAUUUUAUUAGUUUUGAUUUAAAAACUUCUUAUCUUUUGAGUUUUGUUCGUACUUUUCCCUCUUCCCUUGAAAACCCAAAAAGCGCGGUGGCGACUCUGGUUUUAUUGAAUUUUAGCAUAUCCAUAGCUUAAUGGUCAUGGCAACCAAAAUCAGAAUCAGGAGUAUAUUAUUUGAUGAGAAUGUAUUAGCACCCCGCAUAUUUGUUGUACUCAACGAGAACCAUUUAGUUAAAUUUACGUGUAAAAGUGUUAGAUUAUGUUAUUUUAUUUCAUUUGAUUAUUAUGUUGUAUGAAAUAAACCAAUAAAAUAAGUUUUUUAAUUAGGGUGCUUGACGAGAUUUUAAAUCUCGCUCCAACUGAAUAGAUAAAACAUCAUUCGUUUGUGAAAAGUUUUUUAGUCGUGCUGAGGAAGAAGUAGGAUUGAUGGGUUGAAAUUAUUUUUAGGUGGAAGAUGAUUAUUCUAAAGGAAAGAUAUACUCCUUUAUGGAUACAAGUAAAAAUAAAAAUAGAGAGUACAUGACUCGCUCGCAAUGAGAAAAUUGUCUCUCUCCUUUUUUAAACAUGGUUCUAGGGCCACAUCCUCUUCGUGUAAUUAAUUGACUAACAUAUAUCCUCUAUUUAAGACUUAUGUAAAGUUUGGAUAAAAAACUUUAUGACACAAAGAGGGAAAAUAAUUAAUAGAAGAGGUAACAAGUCUUGAAUGGAUAAAAUACAAAGAUUAUAAGUGAAACAAAAUCUACUAAACUACACAUAUUAUGCUCUUACUAGACACAAGUAAACAAUUAAUUUUAAUCGCCAUAAUAUUCUCCAAUGGUAAUUAUAAUAAACAAUUAAUUAGAUCUCCUGAGUUUUUUCAAAGGUUGUUAUAUGUGUAUUGAUGUUUUAUUUGUUCACAAAUUUUAAAAGUCAACAAGGUCACUGUAAUUAUUAAAAAGAAAGAGAAUAUAAAUUGAAGUAUGAGGAAGAUCACUAGUUUUACAAUAUUAUUAUAUAAAUAUAGAAGUACAAAGUUAUAAGAAACUUUAACUUAUUUUCAAUAAAUCUUCUAGAGUUACUUUGAGAGGUGAUAUGAUUGAAAAGAAAAUGUAAUAUGGAUAAAUUGAAGGUCAUGAAUAUUUCUCUAAAAUUAAAAGGGAAGAAGGCAAUCAAAAUAUUAUUAGUUUUUUCUAAAAUUAAAAAGGAAGAAGACAAUAAAAAAUGAAAAUAUUAUUAUUUGUUAUUUUAUUUCAUUUCAUUACAAUCAUGUUACUAUAUAAACCCACAACUACCAGGUUCUUGAAAUAGAACUAAAAACAAAUAAGAUUGUUGGGGUAACCAUACAAUAUCCAAAUGAUAUGCGACAACACAUAUAUUAGGUGUUUGUGUGUUCUCUCGGGUCUCUCUUUUUAUGAGAUGUUUGUAAACUACUAAAGAUAUUUCUUUAUCUUCUCGGAUUAAGCAAUUCAUGUCCUAGUACUCAUUAACAAUGACUCUUGUUUAUGCAUGUUCUUUUAAAAGGAAACCGACAAAAAAAAUAUUUCUACAAUCUGAAUCAUCAAAACAUUUAAUUCUUUCUCCUACAAUAAAAACACACAAUAAGGUUAUUAAAAUAAUAAAAAAAUACAAGGUAUGAAAUAAAAAAUAAAGUGUUAAAUGAAUGAAUUGAAGUUUCCUUCAAUUUUCGAUCCAAUAAAAAAUAAAAAGAUUAAUAUAAUCAUAACUUAAUAGAACUUUAUUAUUUCUAUCCUAUUUCUCCUCGUUAUAUUUAAUAAAUUAUUUUAUAACUUUAUAGUUUAUAAAUAACAGUGCAUCCUCACCCUCUUUAUAUCUCUUAAUUAUGGAUACAUAGUUGCAAAAUAAAUCUUAAAAAGAUGUCACAUCAUUUUGUUGUGUUAGUCUCUUCAGCACAUCUAAAAAAGAUGUCGGAUAAAACUUGUCUAUCAAAAAAAUAUUUUCUUCUUAUAAUAAAAUUCUAAUUAUUUUAAAUUAUAUUACCUCGGAUGUGAAAUGGAGAUUACCUCAGUUAUAGAGAUUGGAUAACAAAGGGCAUCAUAAAAAACUAAUAUUUUAUCCAUCGGUUUUGAAUAACCGAGGGGAAAGGUGAAAAAGUCAUUGACUUGAUCCCCAAUUUACGUAGGAUUUUUUAAAUAACCGAGGGGUAUAACCAAUGUUUUUUAAAAUUCCAUUUUGACUUACCUAAAUCAAUUUUUACAUAGAGCCUACAAAUUAAGUGACAGAAUCAUAACGUUUGUAUUUUAUAUAGAAUACAAUACAGAAUAUCAAUUUUACAUUGUUUACAAAAGUAAAUGUACAAUCCUUACAAUACUUAUAAUGAUAUUUGGUAUACACAAAACCUCUACCAAGAGAACCUAUACAUAUUUGCACCUAAAUUGAAAAAACCUCUACACAAUGCAAGUGUAUAGAUGUAAAUCAAGAAAAACUAGUAUUUACUAGAUUCAUAAUAACAUAGGAAGACACUUGCCCAAGGUGAUCGGAUGUCAUCUAUAUCCUCUUGUGGGAAUGGUGUUUUGUUGCUAAACAUUUAUAAUUUGAACAAAAUUUAAAUUAUGAUAAGAUAACAUUAAAUUAACAAAUCUACAUAAAUUAUGAUAAGAUUCAUAAUAACAUAGGAUAACAAAAUUUAAAUUAUGAUAACAUUAAAUUAGCAAAUAUACAUAAAUUACAUCUAUAUGGAUUAAGUUAAUACCUUAUGCCAGGUUUUGAUAAUGUCAUUAGAGAAAAUUAUUGUUGUUGCUGCUAUCAAACUGAAUUACUACCCGCUCAUGGGUUCUGAAUACCGACAUAAUGACGUUGACAUCAUUCCCCACAUCCCUCGCCUGUUGAAUCUGGAAUUCAUUCUCAUCCAUCAACUUCUGGAUAUCCCUUUUGACGAUAGUAGACCCACGGGGGUUCACACUGCAAAUGACACAACCAUCAUGGUCAUGCUCGUAAUCACUAAUCAAACAUAGAGGUCUAUGCAUUUCCACCAACGAUCUCCAGAUACACCUCAUAUCAAAAACUCUUAAAUUCCCUGGACAGUCGUCCACCAUGUUGACAGAAGUGUUACCUUGAGCAGGCAAUAGACCAGCUUUCACAUUCGGUGCUUUGUCCUCAAACGACACCAUACUACUCAUUACAAGCUUCUAAACUUCAUACUUCAGAGGGUAAUAAUUCUCUAUAUCAUGACCAAGGGUUCCAUGGUGAAAAGCGUAAUGAAUAUCAGGCUUGAACCACAAUGGCAGUGGCUCUGGAAUUUGUUGAGGGUUUAUUGGCUGAAUAAGAUUCUUGAGUACCAAAGAUGGGGUCAAAGGAGACCUUCUUCCUCUCAAAAUUUGGUUGAUAAUGAUUGUUGUUGUUGUAGUUGGUUCGUUGUUGCAGUUGUUGCUGAUGAUGUUGUUGAAUUGGAACUGAUUGAUUGGUUGAAUUGUUGGAAAAAACUGGAAUCACUGAAGAAACUUGGUGUUGAAGCUGAUGAGGUUGAGAACUUUUCCUUAUAUGAGACCUCCUCUGCUUCCCCACUAACACUGCAUUAGUCUCUCCCUCCUUCAUUCACAAACUCCUUCCUCAAAUAUCAUCCCCAUGUUUACGAUUUCGGUAAAAUCAUUGAGGGUACUUUCAAUCAUGCGUUCGUAGUAAAACAAACUCAGUCUUUUUAAGAAGAUCUUAGUCAUCUCCUUCUCUUCAAAAGAUGGACUGAUCUGAGCAGCUAACUCCCUCCUCCUUUGAGCAUAUUCUUUAAAUGUCUCCUUGUUCUUCUGAGACAUAGACAUCGAUUGGUCUCUAUCUGGGCUCCAUAUUAACGUUGUACUUAUACUGCUUGACAAAGGCCUCACCUAGGUCAUUGAAAGUAUGAACGCUAGCAUUAUCCAGGCCCAUAUACCAUAUUAGAGAAGCUCUAGUUAAACUGUCUUGGAAAUAGUGAAUCAACAGUUGAUCAUUUUUAGUUUGAGUAGACAUUUUCCUGGAAUACAUAAUAAGAUGGCUCAACGAACAAGUAUUCCCUUUUUACUUUUCAACAUCCGGGGCCUUGAAUUUCACUAGAAUUUAAACAUUGGAAACAAAAUAGAGUUCAACAGCAGUCUUGCUAAACAUAUCUUUCCCUCUUAGAGUCUUCAAUUUUUUGUGUAGUUAAAGGAAUUGAUCUUUCAUCUCAUCCAUCUUUUCAUAGACAUCUGGAACUUCAGAUGGCUCAGAGUGGUAGAUAGUCUCCUCAACACGAGGAAAAGUAUGAACGAUCGAUGGAGGUACUGUCAUGACCGGACUAGAUGCCGACAAAGAAACAAACAUGGGCGCAUACCCCUCUAGCAUGAAAUUUAGUGGCAUUCCCUAAGGAAAUCCAGCAGGCAUAGAAGGAAUGGGUUGGAUGGCAGCAGUAACAAUUACAGACAGCGAAACAAUCUCAAGAUUGAUAGUACUCUAAGGAGGAGGAGUUGCAGGAGACGAUGAUGGCUGGUUCUCAGCAGCAAUCACAGAUUCCAUUAACGUCGUAAGUCUAGCGAUCUCACUCUUCAGCUCUCUAUUCUCUUGCUCUAGAUCCUCCAUUCUUUUCAGUCGAUUAGCAUGAGUAUUGUAGCGGUGAGUCAGCUUUGCUGAGGCAUAAAAGAAGAACUGAUAAGACAUCUGUCAGAAGAAACAUGUUAUGCAAAUGAUGCAUGACAUGCAAUGCUUUUUUGAUUGUUUUGAAUUUCAAGGAAUAUAUGAUGUCUCAUUUGCAAAUAUAUAACAAUAAUGAAUAAUAACAAUUCAAUUGACCAUAAAAUAUCUUUUUAUUCAUAAAAUAUCUUAAAAUUGAACAACCAAUGGAUCUAUGAAAUAAUACAUUUUCAAUUUUCUUUCAACACAUGUCUUAUGCAGGACCGUAAUUAAAAGGUAAUGCAAAUGUCAACAUUUUUUGUUAAAGUAAGAGAACAAUGAAUAAUGGAAUCUCGUCUAUCGUACUAAAUAAUCUCUGAGUGUUAUCUAGUUGAGGUGUCGUGGUCUUAAUAUUGUGAACCGAGACAGAACAAUUAUCUUUCGUGCUUGCACCACCCGUAAAAACUUUCUCAACUACAGUUCUAGAUAUGUCCAACUAAUAUGAAUUUGGAUGGUAGAAUACAACAUUUGAUUUUAGUUUAUGCAUCAUUAAAAUAAACGAAUACAAUAUAAAUAUUAAAAUACAUAAUUAAUAUCAACAAGAUAUAGUUGGAUAUGCCCCAAUCACAUCGGGGAUACACCUUUCUCAGUCAACCUCGACCAGCCUCUCUCACUCCUUUCGCACCUCCUCAAUCAUCUUUUCUCGUACCUCCUGAAACGUCCUUGACUGUCGAACAAUCGAAAUCAACAAGAGUCUCCAGCAAAGUUUAUUUUUAAAAGGGAUAAUAUCGAUAAAACCUUAAAAGAAUAAAAAUAUGUUCAUCGCAACCAAAAUCAGAUUCAGGAGUCGAUUAUGUGAUGAGAAUGUAUUAGCACGCCACACAUCUGUUGUAUUCAACGAGAACCAUUUAGUUAGAUUUACGAAUAAGAUUGUUGGAUUAUGUUAUUUUAUUUCAUAUGAUUAUUAUGUUGUAUGAAGUACACCGAGAAAAUAAGUUAUUUAUUUGGGUGCUUGACGAGAAUUUGAAUCUCGCUCCGACUGAAUAGAUAAAACAUCAUUCGUUUGUGAAAAGUUUUUUAGUUGUGUUGAUGAAGAAGUAGGAUUGAUGGGUUGAAAAUAUUUUUAGGUGGAAUAUGAUUAUUCGAAAAGGAAAGAUAUACUCCUUUUAUGGAUACAAGUAAAAAUAAAUAUAGAGAGUAGAUGACUCGCUCGCAAUGAGCAUAUUGGCUCUCUCCAUUUUUAAACAGGAUUCUAGGGCCACAUCCUCUCGUGUAAUUUCUUGACUAACAUGUAUCCUCCAUUCAAGACUCAUGUAAAGUUUGGAUAAAAUACUCUAUGACACAAAGAGAGAAAAUAAUUAAUAGAAGAGCUAACAAGUCUUGAAUGGAUAAAAUACGAAGAAUAUAAGUGAAACAAAAUCUACUAAAGUACACAUAUUAUGCUCUGACUAGACACAAGUAAACAACUAAUUUUAAUCGUCAUAAUUUUCUCCAAUGGUUAUUAUAAAAAUAAAUAAUUAAUUAUAUCGCCUAAGUUUUUUAAAAGGUUAUUAUAUGUGUAUUGAAGUUUUAUUUGUGCACAUAUUUUAAAAGUGAACAAGGCCACUGUAAGUAUUAAAAAGAAAGAGAAAUAUAAGUUGAAGUCUGAGAAAGAUCACUAGUUUUACAAUAUUUUUAUAUAAAUAUAAAAGUAUAAAAUUAUAAGAAACUUUAAAUUAUGAUAAUGUGAUAUGCAUAAAUUGAAGGUCAUGCAUAUUUCUCGAAAAUUAAAAGGGAAGAAGGCAAUCAAAAUAUUAUUAGUUUUUUCUAAAAUUAAAAAGGAAAAAGACAAUAAAAAAUAAAAAUAUUAUUAUUUGUUUUCUUCUUUCAUUCCAUUACAAUCAUGCUAGUGUAAAAAUCCACAACUAUUAGGUUCUUGAAAUAACAGUAAAAGGAAAUCAAAUUGUUGGGGUAACAAUACAAUAUGCAAAUAACAUAUGACAACACAUAAAAUAUAUUAGGUGUUUCUGUGUUCUCUCGGGUCUUUAGUUAUCUGAGGUGUUUGUAAACUCAUAAAGGUAUUUCUUUAUAUUCUCGGAUUAAGCAAUUCACGUGCUAGUACACAUUUACAAUGACUGUUGUUUAUGCAUGUCACUUUAAAAGGAGACCGACAAAACAUUCUAUUUUUACAAUCUGAAUCACCAAAACAUUUAAUUCUUUCUCCUGCAACAAAAACUAACAAUAAGGUUAUUAAAAUAUUAAAAAAAUACAACGUAUGAAAUAAAAAAGAAAAUUUAAAAUGAAUGAAUUAAAGUUACCUUCAGUUUCCAUUCCAAUAAGAAAUAGAAAUAAUAAUAGAAUCCUAACAUAAGCAAACUUUGUUAUUUCUACCAUAUUUCUCUUUGUUAUUUUUUAUAAUUAUUUUGUAACUUUAUACUUUAUGAAUAAGAGUGUAUC